rnacentral:lncRNA from 1 species
CCAGGCCUUGCUGAACACCCGCCGCCCCAAUCACGCACCUGCCUACCUUGAACUACGCCGUCGUUUCACCCCGGAUCCAAAGGCCCUGCUGAUGCCGUCCAUGGCGUACACCCACGCCUGGCAAGUGUUUGGCCAAAUGUCAAUGAGAAUAUUUUUUAUGUUAUUGUUGUUUACUUUGAAGCAAGCACGAUGCCUGGCUAAAAAAACAGGGACAGACAUUUGGUGCAUAGGGUUGGAUGUCCGGCUCCCCUAUCGGUGCCUACGAACGCGUCCACGGACGUUUGGUGUGUCCGGUUUGGUUAUCCGCGUUAGAGUUGCCCUUAUUUCUCAGUAACCCACCCAUUGACCCAUUUUGUAUAUAUUACAAAGGAAAAUACGUGCGAAUUCUUAUUUCUUCAGUUUUAAAGAUGAAAAAUAUGGAAUUGAGAAGAUUCUUGCUCUACUAUUUGGCAUUCGUUAAUAGUACUGUUAUUACUUAAUUUUUGGGUGUAGAUAUUCUCAUCAUAUGGAUUAAGGAAUUUAUACAAGAGUGAAGCAUGUUCUUGUUUCAACCGGGUUCUCAUACUCGUAUAAUUGAUUGAGUUGGAAAUAAGGAAAGAUCACUUCCUGGUAAUCACUAAAUCUUGUUUUUUGUACCAUCACUUUUUGUUGAAGUAUGCUCAGUUACCACCAUUUGUUUUGUGCAUAUCGUUAUCUAGAACUGAUGACUUCCAUGAGCCCAUUAGCCCAUACUUGUAAUACUUACCCUUUGGUAACUUCAAACACUGCACUAAAAAAAAGACUACAAACAUUCCAUGAUGUCAGCAAUCUGAAUGAAGCAGCCCUUAAAAAUGUGAGCAAUGCAUUUGAGUGAUUAUAUUCUAUUGUUUACCUGCCAAUCAUCAUCCUAUGAGAAAUUUUCUGCAGAAGGUAAAACUAAUUCUCCAAUGGGGCAUUUAUUGAUUGAAACUAAUAACAGGGAUGGUUAAUGAUUUUUCUUUUUAGCCUUUGUCCUUUACAGACUGGGCACUGACAAAUUAGAAGUAGUGUCAUUUUUAACUUCUGCCACGUAAGUAGUUGGAUGUGUAAUUGCCUACUGCACAGUUCACCAGAUAAACCUAGUUCUAAAUUGCUGUUGGUAGGGAAAAUAUAUAUUGUAAAAUUGCAAUUGAAACAAGUAGAUAAUAAUUGGGGCAUAAAAAAGGAAGUUGUAUUUUGGUUCUGUUGGCACAACAGCUACACUUUGGUAUGCUGUUAUAUGAACUGUAUAUCUGUUUGUUCUUAUAAUGAUGGAUCAUAGCCAUCAUACAGUCCAAAGAUAUACAUUGGUUAACAACUAGAGUGGAGAUAACAACUGCUAAUUAGUAGCUAUUGACAGUUUAAUUACGUUGCGAAAUCCGUCAAGCUAAACCAUAGAGCAUUGUAAACUUCUACUGUAUCUGAUAAACACGUAACAUGCGAAACUGUGAGAUCGCGGGCUAGAGAAGAGGGAUGAGAAUGACAGGGACGAUGGAGAUGCGUUUUUAUCCUUUUGGAAGGAACUAUUUUUGGCUACAUGAGGGUUUAACAAUAUCCUACUGUUGUGCAGAGAACGUCACAUUGUUCCUGUUGAAUAUAUAUUUGUGCGUGUAUAUUAUGUCAUAGGCCCACCUCCUAGUUCCUUGUAUAGUUGAGGUUGAGGCACAUCUUGUACCUAUAUAUAGGUGCCUAGUGUACCCAAUCAAUAUUGAGAGUUGCACAGCCCAAACCUAAUUCUCUACAUGGUAUCAGUUUCCUCCACGUUCGUGACCUAGCCGCCGCUGCGCCCUUACUCGCGCCGCCGCUGCCGCCUCUCCCCGCCGCCACACCCCGCCGCUGCCACCGCUCUUCCCUGUGCCGCCGCCGCUAUGUGUCGCCGCCUCCCAUCUACACCGCUUCCGCCUUCCUAACCUGCAUCUCCCGACGCCACCGCUCGCCCAUUGCCAUGGCCUCUCCGCGCUCGUCAAUCUCCUCCGACAACAAUAUGUUCGCUAGCCCGGACGUCACCCUUGUUCGUGAUCUCAACAUCUUCGAUCGCGUUCCGGUGAUUCUCGAUCAGUCCACGGGCUCCUACUCUGCCUGGAAGAGGUACUUCUCCUUGGUGUUCCACGAGUACCUGCUCCACGGUCACAUCGAUGGUACUGUGGAUUUGGCACUCAUGGUGAACGACGAGGACUGGAUGAUCCUCGACGCCACCAUCAUCUGCUGGUUUUACCUCACCAUCUCCAAGGAUCUCUUCCACUUGAUGUGUGUGCGAUGAUGACGACGCCUACGCCGUCUGGACCAAGCUCAACGGCCUCUUCACUGACAACAAACUUCAGCACAAGGUCCUCCUUCAUGACAAGUUUUAUGGGUGCCUGCAGCUUGAUUCAUCCAUCGAUGAUUUUUGCAUGCACCUCAAGAAGCUUGUCGAUGAGCUCCGUGAUCUUGGCGAGACGAUCAGCGACGAGCUCCUCAUCAGCACUCUCACCGCCGACCUCAACGACGACUUUGGGAACGCCGCCUCCAACCUGACUCUCAUCCCGGAGCCUACCUUCGCUAAGGUGGUGGCGUACCUCAAGCUCGAGGAGAGGCGCCUGAAGAUGGCGCGGAUCCUGGCCACGCACACGGCUCUUACCACCGCCACUCGCGGUGGACCAGCUCCCCCGCGGCCGGCUCCCUAACAGACGGCCUUCCCGCAGCCAGCUCCCUUUCAGCAGCCGCAGCCGGCCCCAUCUAGCAACGGCCGCCGUCGCGGUGGGCGCCAGCAGCAGCAGUCAAACAGCGCUUCGGGAGGAAUCGCUCGCCCUCCACAGCAGCAGCCGGCUCCAUGGUCCGCCGGGCAGAAUCCGUGGACCGGCGUCGUGCACGCUUGUUCCAUUCUGGUUCCCCGUGCUCCUGCUCCCGGUCUUCUCGGACCCCGGCCCCCCUCCCAUCAGGCAUUCUACGCCGCGCCACAGCCGUAUGUGCCGCCAUACGGCCCUCUCUUGUUCAGGCAGCCACCGCAGCCAGGCGGGCCGCCGUUGCUGCCCUUGACGGCCCAGCCUCAACUCCCAGCUCCCGUGCUUCCCCCUGCUCCCUGGGACCCGGCCCUGCUCGCGGCGCUGCACUCCGCCCCUACACCGACAACAUACACUGGCGGUGGCUACUGGUAACAUAAAGAUCUUGUGUGGCUAACAUAAAGAUCUAGGAAUACACAUAGAUUUGAGUGGCUAACAUAAAGAUCUUGUGUGGGUGCCAGUAAAUUCGACAUACAACUCACAAAAAUCAGCUGAUGAAGGGAACAUUUUGAGGUUAUAUUCCACCUUGCAACUGUAGCAUAACCUUAAUUUGUUCCUUGAGAGUGACCUGUGCUGCGGCACCUCUACUUCUGUAGUAGCAACGAUGAUAGUGCUAAAUACUGUUGACUUGAUGAUAUUUCUCAGCACCAAGAGAAAGAAUCAUUUCCUUUUCUCCUUUCCCCAAUCAUAAUGCCUUUUUCUUCUCCUACUGUCAAUUUUUCUGUAUUUGAGUGCACAACCAGUCAGAUAAAGUGCUCGCCCAUCUCAAAUUUUGGUUAUAUCCAUUAAUAGGGAAGGCAAGAGAGACAGCUUGUUACCUCAAAUGGACCGUGCACUACUCUGUAAACUAAUAUAAGAACGUUUAGAUCAUUAUAGUAGUGAUCUAAACACUCUUAUAUUAGUUUACGGAAGGAGUACGUAUUAACAGCCCAUUGAAAAGGUCAUGAUGAACUGCAUUAGGCGCAUUAUCGGGUACUUGUCUAUCAGGACUACAGUAGAUGGAUAUAGCAGUGCUCGUUUUGUACCAUCUACCUUAAGGUUACCCCACGACCAACAGAGAAGAGGACGGCUAGCUGAUUCUAUUCUGAAGUGGUAUGAGCUACGAAAGUUCGUACUUAGGAUUAUAUGUGCCCUGUUUGUUGAACAAAAUGUCCCAGUCUCCGGGCAAUAUUAGGCAACACGCAAGUGCUUUUGUUCAACCUUUCCAAAAGAUCAAAACACAUUUGCACGAACUCUGUUACACAUGGAGGGCGUCAGUUGUGGGUCGAAAAUACGGUGGAUCUCUCGAGGUUAGGUAAGCUGUUCUAUUCGUAGUACGUCCAAAUCACAGGCAGGUAGUUUUGUAGGGAUCCAUUGGCCAUAGCCCCCCACAGCUGUGGGUUCCUCCUUGUUUCUUCCUCCCUCGUUUUGGACACGCUCAUUCCCGGAUUAGUCGGUUAUCCGAACUGAAACCAACAGCCAUCACAUUUUCAAUGCUGUCGCUGACGCCUGGUGGCAUUGGUCCCAGUCCCUCUCUUCUCUCUGUCCGGUCAAGCCUGUUCAGACUUCAGACGAUCCGCAUACACGCAGAGUGUUCGCAGGGCUCCAGAUGAUCCUCUACUGCUCUACAUGUGGAGAACAUCUGUGCCCUGUUGACGGUCUAAAACAACACGAAAUCUACUACUCUAGAUCUGUCUGACGGAUAGCUGGACGUCAAAGACAUGUGGCAGAGGAAAGCCAGGUGAGCUGAAACCGCAAUGCAGUUCCGAGCUGGACCCAUGAUGAUCUUCUUAUCCGGUCCCGUGCCUUGGAGCCCCACAUGAGGUGUUCUUCUUCCUUGGGGGAGAGGACUUGCCCCCACGAGCUAGCGUGUCAACCUUUUUGGGGGGUUGCAUGUGGUGCCGAGAAGAGGAGGUAUCCUUGAGCAGCACGUCUGGGCCUGGUUGUGCCUGGGCUUGGUGCUGUCUUUGGCGUGUAUCCCAUUUCACACCUGGAAUUACCUGAGAUUCGGUGAUGCCCCCAUAUUACCACCAACAAGUUGCACAUUGCCUCACCGUGAUGUUGGAAUGAAUGACUAUACGCAACGUGCCAAGCUAUAUUAGAUGGGCUCGAGCAGUACUUGUGUUCAUCUGAAGCGGUAACAAGGUUUAGUGAUGUUGUUAAACGAUUCCGCUGCCUUAGCGGAGCCCACUCAUGCUCCGAUUGGGACUUGCAUUUUGGCACGCUUUAGGUUGCUUCCAAGUGAUACCAAUCCUGUCUCCUCAAAACGAACCUUGAGGAGCAGUUCAUGCCACCAGUUUCUACGAUAACAUUCUCUUGCAUCCUUCCUUUAUUACUUAUCCUACGCUUGUGUUGCUUUGCUUCACGAUACCCACAACCUUUUCGCGAAGCAAUCUUCACCGUCUGUAGUGCUUUGUUACUCUACCACGAAAUGCUUGGAGCUUGUACGGUAUAUCUAACCAACCCAUCGCGCACACUAACCUGACAAGAGACAUACAGAUCGAGAUUGGCAUUGUGACCGACCAUGCGUUGAUGCCGUGCUGGCGAGGGGCCGGGUAUACGUGGCCGUCGAUCAUGGAAUGCGUAGGUAGGCCUCGUGUGUGAUCAACUGAAGCAGCUUCCAAGCACAAUGCAGCAGACGAUGUACUCUACGUGCUCACGCAUGGGGCCGGGACGGGCCCAAUCAUGGAUCGCCUGAGCCGUGUUCGCCGUGGGUCUGAACAGGGGCUUGGUGCGUCAAUGCCGUGUGAGGUCCCAGGACACGCACCCUACGCCGCUGCACGCAUCAUCCACCAUACAUGUCCAGAACAAAAGCACCGACCGACCUGGAGGCGCCGUGUCGUGCUCGUGGAGCAGCGGAGGCUGCUUGGCUGCUUCUGAUGCCGAUCAUUGGCCCCCGGUUUCACAUCGCGGCCAUGUCCCAUGUGUGUGUGGGUAUGUAUGUGUCUUGGCGGUGCACCGGCCGCACAUGCUUCACGGAGACGAAAGCAGCAGCAGCGGCGGUGGCGAUGGCGAUGGGAUUAGGAUCGGAAUCGGUGGCGACGCGACUGCGAUACGCUAUGCGCCGUAUCACGUGCCGUUGCUUGCACCGUCCCCAUAAAGCAAACCGAGUUAUCUACUCUUAAAAAAAUGGAGUAAAUUACACGAAACGCUGGCAUCUGAGUAAAAUACUCUUGACACAUUUGUUUGAUUAUUUUACAGAUUCAUUUUUAUAGAUAGUUGGUGUACUAACUUUUCUCAACUCCUAGUAUUAGUAGUGAAAACUUACACAUUAGUAUACAUUUGAGAAAAUUUGUCUUGGAACUCACUGUUGUAAAUAUAUUGCAGGGGGAGCAGUAUGUGCAGUAGCAUUGCAGGCCUGCGGUGACGAGAAAUGUAUGUGUGGAGUGUUUGUUAACAAUUCCUUGUACUAGCGUAAGUCGGCCAGCGGGGCCGAGGCCAGAGAGACAGCGUUCCAGCUGGACCAAUCAGCGGGCGGCGCCAAGAACGAACUUGACAGAGUUUGUUGCCCUCCAUCACCCAACCACCUCCCUGCUCCCUGGCCCCCACUCGCCACCCCCUCUAUAUAACCCGGCACGCGCCCUGGCGCCAGCGAUGUCAUCCUCACCACGCGAGACGGCGGCGGCGAGCCAAGGCGAAGGCGGCAAGGAGUCGUGCCCGUUCUGCGAGAUGUCGAAGCAGCACGCGGCGGGGUGCGCGCGGCGGCUGCCGAAGCGGAUCAUCCUGGUGCGGCACGGCGAGAGCCAGGGGAACCUCGACAUGUCGGCCUACUCCACCACGCCGGACUACCGCAUCCCGCUGACGCCGCGCGGGGUCGAGCAGGCGCGCGCCGCCGGCCGGGGCAUCCUCGACGUGGUCUCGUCCGGGGCCCCCGACGCCAACUGGAAGGUCUACUUCUACGUCUCCCCCUACGAGCGCACCCGGGCCACCCUGCGCGGGAUCGGCGCCGCCUUCCCGCGCCACCGCGUCAUCGGCGCCCGCGAGGAGUGCCGCGUCCGCGAGCAGGACUUCGGCAACUUCCAGGUCGAGGAGCGGAUGCGCGCCAUCAAGGAGACCCGCGAGCGCUUCGGCCGCUUCUUCUUCCGCUUCCCCGAGGGCGAGUCCGCCGCCGACGUCUUCGACCGCGUCGCCAGUAAGCCCACCCCCCGAUUCCCCUUCCGAUUCCAUCGUCGUUUUUCUCUCUUCUCCGCCUCCCAUGGAUCGACGAACCGAACCGAACCGGCUGAUCGCAAUGCAGGUUUCCUCGAGUCGCUGUGGAGGGACAUCGACAACGGGAGGCUGGAUCCCAGCACCACCUGCGAGACCAACCUGGUGAUCGUCUCGCACGGCCUCACCUCGCGCGUCUUCAUGAUGAAGUGGUUCAAGUGGACCGUGGAGCAGUUCGAGCGCCUCAACAACUUCGAGAACUGCGAGUUCAGGGUGAUGCAGCUCGGGCCCGGCGGCGAGUACAGCCUCCUCAUGCACCACACCAAGGAGGAGCUCGAGGCCUGGGGCCUCUCGCCGGAGAUGAUCACCGACCAGCAGUGGCGCGCCUCCGCCAACCGACGCAGCUGGUCCGAGGAGUGCUCCUCCUUCAUCGCCACCUUCUUCGACAACUGGAACGAUCCGCCAGAGGGGGAGGAGGAGACGGACGACGACCGCCAGCAAGAAGGCGAUGCCAAGAUCGAGUCUCUGGAGUAACCAAUCCGCUCCCCCCUUUCCCAUAGUUCCUUAGAAUUUGUUCCAACUCGAUACUGCAACUGCACAUCUCGUUCGUUUGUUCGUCGCCAAGUUCUUCGACAACCGGAAGGAUUUAGAAGAAGAGAAUGGCAAGAUCAAGCUGUUGGAGUAUCCGAACUGACUUACUUGCUCUUCCGUUAGCUUCGUCAAAGUUCUUCAGAUUUGAUACUGCUAGUGUCUUCCGCCAUGGAUGGAUGUAGUAGCCAUCGCGGGGUUUCCCUUUUUGUUNNNNNNNNNNNNNNNNNNNNNNNNNNNNNNNNNNNNNNNNNNNNNNNNNNNNNNNNNNNNNNNNNNNNNNNNNNNNNNNNNNNNNNNNNNNNNNNNNNNNCACCGGAGGUGGUCCCGGGGGACCACCGAAGGAGGGCAACGACCCCGGGAGGCUAUAUGGGCUAAGUGGGUAAGGGAACCAGCCCCUAGGUGGGCUGGUGCGCCCCCCAUCCAGCCCAUGCGCACCAGAGAAAAGGGGGAAGGGGGGAACCCUAGCAUGGGUGGGCCUAAGGCCCACCAGAGGGGUGCGCCACCCCUCCUCCGUGCCCUGGCCGCCGCCCCCUCUCCCAUCUGGGGCUGCCGCACCCCUUGGGGGUGGGAACCCUAAGGGCUGCGCCCCCUCCCUCUGCCCCUAUAUAUAGAUGAGGGUUCCGGGCUGUUUGAGACACGUUNNNNNNNNNNNNNNNNNNNNNNNNNNNNNNNNNNNNNNNNNNNNNNNNNNNNNNNNNNNNNNNNNNNNNNNNNNNNNNNNNNNNNNNNNNNNNNNNNNNNNNNNNNNNNNNNNNNNNNNNNNNNNNNNNNNNNNNNNNNNNNNNNNNNNNNNNNNNNNNNNNNNNNNNNNNNNNNNNNNNNNNNNNNNNNNNNNNNNNNNNNNNNNNNNNNNNNNNNNNNNNNNNNNNNNNNNNNNNNNNNNNNNNNNNNNNNNNNNNNNNNNNNNNNNNNNNNNNNNNNNNNNNNNNNNNNNNNNNNNNNNNNNNNNNNNNNNNNNNNNNNNNNNNNNNNNNNNNNNNNNNNNNNNNNNNNNNNNNNNNNNNNNNNNNNNNNNNNNNNNNNNNNNNNNNNNNNNNNNNNNNNNNNNNNNNNNNNNNNNNNNNNNNNNNNNNNNNNNNNNNNNNNNNNNNNNNNNNNNNNNNNNNNNNNNNNNNNNNNNNNNNNNNNNNNNNNNNNNNNNNNNNNNNNNNNNNNNNNNNNNNNNNNNNNNNNNNNNNNNNNNNNNNNNNNNNNNNNNNNNNNNNNNNNNNNNNNNNNNNNNNNNNNNNNNNNNNNNNNNNNNNNNNNNNNNNNNNNNNNNNNNNNNNNNNNNNNNNNNNNNNNNNNNNNNNNNNNNNNNNNNNNNNNNNNNNNNNNNNNNNNNNNNNNNNNNNNNNNNNNNNNNNNNNNNNNNNNNNNNNNNNNNNNNNNNNNNNNNNNNNNNNNNNNNNNNNNNNNNNNNNNNNNNNNNNNNNNNNNNNNNNNNNNNNNNNNNNNNNNNNNNNNNNNNNNNNNNNNNNNNNNNNNNNNNNNNNNNNNNNNNNNNNNNNNNNNNNNNNNNNNNNNNNNNNNNNNNNNNNNNNNNNNNNNNNNNNNNNNNNNNNNNNNNNNNNNNNNNNNNNNNNNNNNNNNNNNNNNNNNNNNNNNNNNNGGGCUGUUUGAGACACGUUUUCAUCUCUCUCUCGGCGCAGCCCUGCUCCUCUCCCUCCUCCUCUCUGCCGGCGCUUGGUGAAGCCCUGCCGGGAGACCUCGUCUCUCCACCGACACCACGCCGUCGUGUUGCUGGACUUAUUCCCCAACCUCUCCCUCCUCCUUGCUGGAUCAAGGUGCGGGAGACGUCACCGGGCUGCACGUGUGUUGAACGCGGAGGUGCCGUUGUUCGGCACUAGAUCGGAAUCGCCACGAGUACGACUCCAUCAACCGCGUUCUAGCAACGCUUCCGCUUAGCGAUCUUCAAAGGUACGAAGAUGCUCUUNNNNNNNNNNNNNNNNNNNNNNNNNNNNNNNNNNNNNNNNNNNNNNNNNNNNNNNNNNNNNNNNNNNNNNNNNNNNNNNNNNNNNNNNNNNNNNNNNNNNAUCAAAAACAGGCUAUGCAUCAGAUAUAGGAGCUAACUACAACAGUAGCAAAAUACUAAUGCAAGCAUGAGGGAGAAAGACAUAGGCGAUAUAGGGAUGAUCAAGGGGGUUUGCUUGCCUUGCUGCUCUGCGGCAAAGGACUGAUCGACAGGAUCAUAGAUGUACCCGGCAGCAACAUCAGUCUCGGGGUCUACCUGUAAGAAGAGGGGGAAGAAACAAUAAAUAAUAGCAACGGUGCAACACAAUGCAUGACAUGGCAAGAUGCAGGCUAGACACGAGCUAACGCAGCAACAUCCGUCAUAGACGGGUCGGAAGAAUAUCUCACGAUAUUUUCCGGGUCUCGGGCUACUACCGGUCAAACUGGGAACGAUGGAAAUGUUCCACGUUUGCUAUGCUAGGGAAGCGUGACAAACGAAUGGACCGUGUAUCCGGGUUCGUCUCGUUCUGCUAAUCAACUUUCAUGUUGAAAAUAUUUUGAUCUGACUUACGGAUUAAUUAAUAUAUUUUUUAAGUUUUAUUCAAUAAUUAGGAAUUAAAAGCCGAUUUAAAUAAUUUAAUAAAAUGCUAUUAUGACAUCAGCAUGAUGUCAUGCUGACAUCAGCAGUUGACUGGUCAACUGACCAGUGGGUCCCGAGUGUCAUAGACACAAGUUUUUAUUAAGAUUAAAUAUUAAUAAAUCAAAUUAAUUUAGUGGGGGGUCCACGUGUCAUACUCUAAUUAUUUUAAUACCCAAUUAAUUAAUUAAAUAAUAUAUCUAUUUAUUUAUUUAAUAAAAACAUUAAUUUUAUUUUUAUAUUUAAAUUUUCACUUUUGUUUAAAAGAGGUUGUGGGGCCUCCCUGUCAUAGACACCGGGGUGCCUUGGCCCCACCGGUAAGUGGCUUUAGGCCAGAUACACAUUUUUACUCACAGAUACAUAUCCAAACAAUUAACGUCUUCUCCAUAUACCUAUAUACGUAAAUACAUACAUCGUGCAUCUCAUACAUACAACAUACGUACGACAUUUAUACAUACAUACAUAUGCAAUACAACAUUUAUUUCUAUUUCUUUCUAUCUCAUCUCACAACUCCCAUCUCUGUGUUAACAGAGGCUCAACUUCACAGUGAGAGAGAUAUGUCUCCAAUAUCACCUAUGCGAACCUAAGGGCGUCGGAUCGGAGCGCCGUUUGUUGGAAUGGAACCGGGACGGUGCGAGGAAGAAGAUUGCGGGAGGAGCUCGAGGAGGGGCUCACCAACGUUGACGAGAGGGUCCGGUGAAGCCGGAGUUCUCGUGAGGCAGAGGUGACGACGAGGAGGAGGACGAUGCGGUGAUGGUGGUGACGGUGGUGACGCGGUUCCGGUGAGGACGGUCGUUGCCGAGAGGCCUCCCGGAGGUGGCCAACCGGCAUGACGAGUAGGAGGGGGUCUCCCUGCCUGGUCCCUCCUGGACCGAGCGGGAGGAAGGGGUGGUCGGCCGAUGGGGGGAACCGGGAGGGCUCGGUCNNNNNNNNNNNNNNNNNNNNNNNNNNNNNNNNNNNNNNNNNNNNNNNNNNNNNNNNNNNNNNNNNNNNNNNNNNNNNNNNNNNNNNNNNNNNNNNNNNNNNUUCUUACCUACGUGACAGCCACAACGAUGAUAUGCCAAAGCUAUUUACCCUUCAUAAGGACCCUUUUCAUCAAAUCCAAUCCGACUAGAGUAGGAGAGACAGACACCCGCUAGCCACCUUUAUGCACGGUGUGCAUGUCUGUCGGUGGAACCAGUCUCACGUAAGCGUACGUGUAAAUUCGGUCCGGGCCGCUUCAUCCCACAAUACCGCCGGAAAAUAAUAAGACUAGUAGCGGCAAGCAAAUUGACAAAUCAUCGCCCACAACUUUUGUGUUCUACUCGUGCAUAGAAUCUACGCAUAGAAAACCUGGCUCGGAUACCACUGUUGGGUAACGUAGCAUAAAUUCAAAAUUUUCCUACGCAUAUUCAGAUAUUCCUAUGGAGAGACCAGCAACGAGAGAGGGGUAAGAUCAUCUUCAUACCUUUGAAGAUCGCUAAGCGGAAGCAUUGCUAGAACGUGGUUGAUGGAGUCGUACUCGCAGCGAUUCCGAUCUAGUGCCGAACUACGGCACCUCCGCGUUCAACACACGUGCAGCCCGGUGACGUCUCCCGCACCGUGAUCCAGCAAGGAGGAGGGAGAGGUUGGGGAAGAACUCCAGCAGCAUGACGGCGUGGUGUCGAUGGAGAGACGAGGUCUCCCGGGAGGGCUUCGCCAAGCACCGGCAAAGAGGAGGAGAAAGAAGGGCAGGGCUGUGCCGAGGGAGAGGGAAAAGUCUAAUCUCCAAUGGCCAAAAGUGCCCACUAUAUAUAGGGGGAGGGAGGGGCUGCACCCCCUUGAGGGUUUCCCUCUCCUGGGGGGNNNNNNNNNNNNNNNNNNNNNNNNNNNNNNNNNNNNNNNNNNNNNNNNNNNNNNNNNNNNNNNNNNNNNNNNNNNNNNNNNNNNNNNNNNNNNNNNNNNNNNNNNNNNNNNNNNNNNNNNNNNNNNNNNNNNNNNNNNNNNNNNNNNNNNNNNNNNNNNNNNNNNNNNNNNNNNNNNNNNNNNNNNNNNNNNNNNNNNNNNNNNNNNNNNNNNNNNNNNNNNNNNNNNNNNNNNNNNNNNNNNNNNNNNNNNNNNNNNNNNNNNNGUUUCCCUCUCCUGGGGGGCAGCCCUAGAUGGGGCUGGUGCGGCGGCCAAGGGGGGAAGGAGGGGUGUGGCACAUCCGUGGUGGGCCUUAGGCCCACCUGGCUUAGGGUUUGCCCCCCCCCCUUUUCUCUUCCCCACGCAUUGGACUGAGUGGGGAGGCGCACCAGCCCACCUAGGGGCUGGUUCCCUUCCCCACUUGGCCCACCUUACCUCCCGGGGUCGUUGCCCCUCUUCGGUGGACCCCCGAGGCCACCUCCGGUGGUCCCGGUACGUUACCGGUGAUGCCCGAAANNNNNNNNNNNNNNNNNNNNNNNNNNNNNNNNNNNNNNNNNNNNNNNNNNNNNNNNNNNNNNNNNNNNNNNNNNNNNNNNNNNNNNNNNNNNNNNNNNNNNNNNNNNNNNNNNNNNNNNNNNNNNNNNNNNNNNNNNNNNNNNNNNNNNNNNNNNNNNNNNNNNNNNNNNNNNNNNNNNNNNNNNNNNNNNNNNNNNNNNNNNNNNNNNNNNNNNNNNNNNNNNNNNNNNNNNNNNNNNNNNNNNNNNNNNNNNNNNNNNNNNNNNNNNNNNNNNNNNNNNNNNNNNNNNNNNNNNNNNNNNNNNNNNNNNNNNNNNNNNNNNNNNNNNNNNNNNNNNNUUACCGGUGAUGCCCGAAACACUUCCGGUAUCCGAAACCAUCCGUCCUAUAUAUCAAUCUUUACCUCCGGACCAUUCCGGAGCUCCUCGUGACGUCCGGGUUCUCAUCCGGGACUCCGAACAACUUUCGGUAACCUCGUAUAACAAUUCCGUAUAACCCUAGCGUCAUCGAACCUUAAGUGUGUAGACCCUACGGGUUCGGGAGACAGGCAGACAUGACCGAGAUGCCUCUCUGGCCAAUAACCAUCAGCGAGGUCUGGAUACCCAUGGUGGCUCCCACUUUCUCCACGAUGAUCUCAUCGGAUGAACCACGAUGUCAAGGAUUCAAUCAAUCCCGUAUACGAUUCCCUUUGUCUGUCGGUAUAGAACUUGCCCGAGAUUCGAUCGUCGGUAUACCAAUACCUUGUUCAAUCUCAUUACCGGUAAGUCUCUUUACUCGUUCCGCAGCACGUCAUCGUGUGACUAACUCCUUAGUCACAUUGAGCUCAGGAUGAUGUUCUACCGAGUGGGCCCAAAGAUACCUCUCCGUCACACGGAGUGACAAAUCCCGAUCUCGAUUCGUACCAACCCAACAGACACUUUUGGAGGUACCCGUAGUGCACCUUUAUAGUCACCCAGUUACGUUGUGACAUUUGAUACACCCAAAGCACUCCUACGGUAUCCGGGAGUUGCACAUCUCACGGUCAAAGGAAAAGAUACUUGACAUUAGAAAAGCUUUAGCAUACGAACAAUACGAUCUAGUGCUAUGCUUAGGAUUGGGUCUUGUCCAUCACAUCAUUCUCCCAAUGAUGUGAUCCCGUUAUCAAUGACAUCUAAUGCCCAUGAUCAGGAAACCAUGAUCAUCUAUUGACUAACGAGCUAGCCAACUAGAGGCUUGCUAGGGACACAUUGUGAUCUAUUUAUUCACACAUGUAUUAUUGUUUCCUGUUAAUACAAUUAUAGCAUGAACAAUAGACGAUUAUCAUGAACAAGGAAAUAUGAUAAUAACCAUUUUAUUAUUGCCUCUAGGGCGUAUUUCCAACAGUCUCCCACUUGCACUAGAGUCAAUAAUCUAGUUACAUUGUGAUGUAUCGAACACCCAUAGCAUUAUCGUGUUGAUCAUGUUUCGCUCGUGGAAGAGGUUUAGUCAACGGGUCUGCAAUAUUCAGAUCCGUGUGUACUUUACNNNNNNNNCAGGAAACCAUGAUCAUCUGACUAACGAGCUAGCCAACUAGAGGCUUGCUAGGGACACAUUGUGAUCUAUUUAUUCACACAUGUAUUAUUGUUUCCUGUUAAUAUAAUUAUAGCAUGAAAAAUAGACGAUUAUCAUGAACAAGGAAAUAUGAUAAUAACCAUUNNNNNNNNNNNNNNNNNNNNNNNNNNNNNNNNNNNNNNNNNNNNNNNNNNNNNNNNNNNNNNNNNNNNNNNNNNNNNNNNNNNNNNNNNNNNNNNNNNNNAUAGAUCAAGUUGGCCAAACAAAACCCACAACUCGAAGAGAAUUACAAGGAUACGAAAUCAUGCAUAUAAGAGAUCAGAGGAAACCCAAAUAAUAUUCAUAGAUGAUCUGAUCAUAAAUCCACAAUUCAUUGGAUCUCGACAAACACACCGCAAAUGAAGGUUACAUCGGAUAGAUCUCCAUGAAGAUNNNNNNNNNNNNNNNNNNNNNNNNNNNNNNNNNNNNNNNNNNNNNNNNNNNNNNNNNNNNNNNNNNNNNNNNNNNNNNNNNNNNNNNNNNNNNNNNNNNNNNNNNNNNNNNNNNNNNNNNNNNNNNNNNNNNNNNNNNNNNNNNNNNNNNNNNNNNNNNNNNNNNNNNNNNNNNNNNNNNNNNNNNNNNNNNNNNNNNNNNNNNNNNNNNNNNNNNNNNNNNNNNNNNNNNNNNNNNNNNNNNNNNNNNNNNNNNNNNNNNNNNNNNNNNNNNNNNNNNNNNNNNNNNNNNNNNNNNNNNNNNNNNNNNNNNNNNNNNNNNNNNNNNNNNNNNNNNNNNNNNNNNNNNNNNNNNNNNNNNNNNNNNNNNNNNNNNNNNNNNNNNNNNNNNNNNNNNNNNNNNNNNNNNNNNNNAGCUAUGGACCCGAAGGUCCGUGGUGUACUACUCACACAUCAUCGGAGAGGCAAUGGUGUUUAUGAAGAAGCCCUCCGUGUCCGAAUCCCCCCUCCGACAAGGAACCAGAAUGUGCCCGAGAUGGGAUCUUGCGGAGACAGAAGCUUGCGGCGGCGGAAAAGUAUUUUCGUGGCUCCCCCUGGUGGUUUCAGAUUUUUGGAGAAUUUAUAGGCGGAAGAAGUAGGGCAGAGGAGCCAUGGGGAGCCCACAAGCCUGCUAGGCCUGUCCCCCAGACCGAGCCUGGUGGGCUUGUGACCUCCUCCAAGGUCCUUUGCCUUGGUUCUCAAGUUUCCUGCGUAUCUUCUGUUAUGGAAAAAAUCAUUUCGCAGGUUUUAUUCCGUUUGGACUCCGUUUAAUAUUCUCCUCUGAAAAAGGUCAAAAACACGGAAAAAACAGAAACUGGCACUUGGCACUGAGUUAAUAGGUUAGUCCCAAAAAAGAUAUAAAAUAGAAUAAUCAUGCAUAAAAAACAUCUAAAGUUGAUGAGGUAAUAUCAUGGAACCAUCAAAAAUUAUAGAUACGUUGGAGACGUAUCACGUCGCUUUAUGUGUGUGGUCCUCUUGUGAAACCUUGGUUCCUUGGCUAGAGCAAUGGCACCAGUGUUGUCACAUAACAAAUUGAUUGGGUCCAGUGCACUUGGCACUACUCCAAGAUCUGACAUGAACUGCUUCAUCCAGACACCCUCCUUAGCCGCCUCUGAGGCAGCUAUGUAUCCCGCUUCGCAUGUAGAAUCAGCUACGACGCUUUGCUUGGAAAUGCACCAGCUUAUCGCAUCCCCGUUAAGAAUAAAUAUGUAUCCGGUUUGCGACUUAGAGUCAUCCGGAUCAGUGUCAAAGCUUGCAUGAAGAUCAUUAUGCAUGUUCUUUUGCUUUUAUUCUAUACUUCUUUCUAUUUCUUUUUCUUAAGAUCAUAUGGCAAGAAAGCAAAGCCCUUUACUCAUAACUACUCUUUAUUAUAUAACUCUUGGACUUGCUUACAUAGGGGUAACAAAAAUAAAAAUCACAACUAGAUCACACUAAAACUUUAUUCUACUAGAUCAAGAUAUAACUAAAAGGAUCAAACAAAGAAAAACAAAAAAGUAAAAAGGUGUGAUGGUGAUACGAUAUCGGGGCACCUCCCCCAAGCUUGGCACAAUCCAAGGGGAGUGCCCAUACCCAUGUGUUCAGUUGUCUUUCUUCGGAGGUAGUGGUGUUGGAGUUGUUGGUGAGGUUGAAAGCUUAUCAAGUCUCCAUUAAAGCAUGAAAUUUUGUUCCCUUAGAUCUUCUACUUCCUGCUCGAGCCUCAAUAUCUUUUGACAUAAUUCACCCUUCUCUCCUGCAGAAAACGAGAAGGGAUAAAUAGCACCUUGGGUUUUCUCCUUGUAUUUUGGAGGCUCGAAUUUUUGAAAUCCACAUGCAUAUCUUCGGGUCGAGGCAAGGGAAUCUCCUCUUGGUCCGAGCUUUCUUCUGCAUACUUGCAUAUCUCCCGUUCCUCCUCCGAGCACAAUCCAAAGGGAUUUACGUCCCCAUAGAGCUUGGAAUUGGCAAGAUAGUGUGAUACAUAGCUCUCCCCAUCGAAAUCUUGGGACGACAUCUUACUCUAAAUCUGGUGCAGAAACAGCUCAAAACGAAAACAAGAGGUAUUAUCGAGAUACGAAGGUCAAAACCUUUGGGAGAUUAUAUAAUGAGUUUUUGCCGACCCGAAGGAGUAUUCCACAAGAAAAUGGAGUCCGAAGGGUGCACUGGGUGGCCACAAGCCUGGAGGGCGCGACCAGGGGGUAGGCCGCGCCCCCUGGCUUGUCGCCUCCUCGUGCACGCUUCAGACUGCUUUAAAUUUUCCUAAUUGUUUAAAUAUUCCAAAAACUGGUAAUAAAUUCCAUUGAAAACGUUUUGGAGUCGGUUUGCUUACCGUAGCACAUACCUAUUCCUUUGCGAGGUCCGAGACAUUCUGAUAGGUCUCUCUAAUGUACUCUUCUGGAGUUAUGGUAUUGAUAAUAUUAGUUUCAACAUUAAUGGGGGUACCUGAGAUAUAAUGUUUGAUUCUUUGCCCAUUUACCACCUUCGGCAUUGUUGAUCUUGAUGGCACCGGAAUGAUAUACUUCCUCAAUAAUGUAAGGACCUUCCCAUUCGGAGAGAAGUUUUCCUGCAAAAAAUCCUAAAUGGGAGUUGUAUAGAAAGACAUGAUCACCUACAUUGAAUUCACGCUUUUGUAUCCUUCUAUCAUUGUCGGGACCCCGAUCCUAAGCCAUAGGAAUCCAGCUUGUAACACAUCGCAUCCCUUUGAGGUCUCACGCACGGUUAACCCCACGGGUGCCACCUUACCUUAGCCGGGACCGUUUGCGCCUUUUGACUCACGUAUGCAUUUGUGUCGCUAGCAUUCCAAUGUCAAAGAACCCGGGUCGACAUAACUAGUCAUAAACUCAAGUGGCUUGAGUGUACAGAGACAGGCAUACAUAACCCAACAAAGCAGGUGUCGGUCAUCAACGAUUGUAGACGAGUCGUAGCAAGCUACAAGGACUCCAUUACAACGCGUGACAUUUCCCCGUAGGGGCAGACACAUCAGCUAAGAAGGAUACAUGUCGGUCAACCAAUGUGUCCGGAGCAGUAGCAAACUAACAAGGCUUGGUGGAAUCACAAAGGGGCAUUUCUCUAUAUAGAGAGCUACUAAGGGCAUACGACUAGGUGUCGAAUCCCAUACAUAUCAUAGUGCAUCACAUGUACGCAUGACAUACUCGAUAUGCGCAUAGAUACAACAAUGGCAUCACAACAUAACCAUACAACAACACAACAUUUAUUUAGAAGACUCGGAAGAGUCUUGCAUAAUAUGUUCAUACAGGCAGGGUCACAUGACCCGACACUCAAGUCAUACAAGAAGAGUUAUACAAACCAACGAAAGCACAAACGCUAUCUGAGUACAUACAGUUGAAAGGAAAAGGCACAAAGCCUGAUGCUACGUCAACAAAAGUCCUUCCUUGGCUGUAGUGCCAGAGAUCCUUCUUUCGUCUCUUGAGCUUGCGUUGGUUUUUCCCUUGAAGAGGAAAGGGUGAUGAAUCACAGGAGCAGUAAGUAUUUCCCUCAGUUUGAGAACCAAGGUAUCAAUCCAGUAGGAGAAUCUCGUCAAGUCCAGAGUACCUGCACAAACACAAAAGAGCUUGCACCCAACGCUUUAAAGGGGUUGUCAAGCCCUUCAAGAUUGUUUGCAAAGUGAGAUUUUAAGGCGGAAAGUGCAACGAAGUAAAAAGUGUAAGGCUGAAAAUAUGGUGUCGACUAGACCCUAGGGGCCAUAGUGUUCACUCGAGGCUUCUCCCAAAAUAGCAAGUAUUACGGUGGGUGAACAAAUUACUGUCGAGCAAUUGAUAGAACCCCGCAAAGUCAUGACGAUAUCUAAGGCAAUGAUCAUACAUAUAGGCAUCAUGUCCGAGACAAGUAGACCGAUACUAUCUGCAUCUACUACUAUUACUCCACACAUCGACCGCUAUCCGGCAUGCAUCUAGUGUAUUGAGUUCAUGACGAACAGAGUAACGCCUUAAGCAAGAUGACAUGAUGUAGAGGGAUAAUCUCAAACCAAUGAUGAAACCCCAUCUUUCUAACCUUGAUGGCAACAACACGAUACGUGCCUCACAACCCUACUUUCACUAGGUGAGGUCACCGCACGGUAUGAACCCAAAACCAAGCACUUCUCCCAUUGCAAGAAUCAUAGAUCUAGUUGGCCAGACAAAACCCACAACUCGAAGAGAAUUACAAGGAUAUGAAAUCAUGCAUAAGAGAGAGCAGAAGAAACUCAAAUAAGAUUCAUAGAUAAUCUAAUCAUAAAUCCACAAUUCAUCGGAUCUAGACAAACACACCGCAAAAGNUGUUGAUGAAGAAGCCCUCUGUGUCCGAAUCCCCCCGUCGGCAGGGCACCAGAACGUGCCCCAGAUGGGAUCUUGCGGAGACAGAAGCUUGCGGCGGCGGAAAAGUACUUUCGAUGAUCUCCUGAUUUUUUGUGAAAUUUUUGGGGAUAUAUAGGCGCAAAACCUAGGGCAAAGGAGGUCCAGGGGCCCCACAGGUCUGAGGGCCGCGGCCUCCCCCUGGCCACGGGGUGGGGGCUUGUGGGGCCCCUGGGGACCCCCUGCCUUGGCUCUCAAGUCUCCUGAUCUUCUUCCGUUACGAAAAAAAUCUUUUCGAGGAUUUUAUUUUGUUUGGACUCCGUUUCAAAUUCUCCUAUGAAAGGGGUCAAAAACAUGGAAAAAAGGAACUGGCACUUGGUACUGAGUUAAGAAGUUAGUCCCAAAAAAUAUAUAAAAGGCAUGCAAAACAUCCAAAGUUUGACAAGAUAAUAGCAUGAAACCAUCAAAAAUUAUAGAUACGAUGGAGACGUAUCAAGCAUCCCCAAGCUUAACUCCUGCUCGUCCUCGAUUAGGGAAGUGGUAAAGGAUGAAUUUUUGAUAUGGAAUGCUACCUAGCAUAUUUGUACUUUGCAACUUCUUUCACGUGACAUGAAUGUUCAGAUCUGUAAGAUUCGAAACAAUAGUUUGCUAUUGACAUGAAAACGAUAAUACUUCAACCAAACUAGCAAAGUAAUCAUGAACUUUCAAAAUAACAAGGCCAAGGAAAGUUAUCCCUACAAAAUCAUAUAGUCUGGCUAUGCUCCAUCAUCCUCACACAACUAAUGUAAAUCAUGCACAACCCCGGUAUUGGCCAAGUAAUUGUUUUCGCACUCUUACUUUCUCAAGCUUUUUAUAACUAUCACACAAUACAUGAGGGCGAGCCAUGAACACUAUAGGUGGAAUAGAGUGUGGUGGUGGUUGUGAGACAAAAAGGAGGAGAUGGUCACAUUGACUCGGCGUAUCAAAAGGCUAUGGAGAUGCCCAUUAAUAGAUAUCAAUGUGAAUGAGUAGGGAUUGCCAUACAAGAGAUGCACUAGAGCUAUAAGUAUGUGAAAGCUCAAAAGGAAAACUAGUGGGUGUGCAUCCAACUUGCUUGCUCACGAAGACCUAGGGCAAUUUUGAGGAAGCCCAUCAUUGGAAUAUACAAGCCAAGUUAUAUAAUGAAGAUUCCCACUAGCAUAUGGUAGUGACAAAGCAAGAAUCUCUCAAUCAUGAAGAAUAUGGUGCUAUUAUGAAGCACAAGUGUGGAAAAAGAUAGUAGCAUUGUCCCUUCUCUCUUUUUCUAUAUAUUUUUUUUCAUUUGGGCUCUUAGGCCUCUUUUUUUCUCUUUUUUAAUAUUUUUGGGCUCUUUGGGCUCUUCUUUUAUUUCCUCACAUAGGACAAUGCUCUAAUAAUGAUGAUCAUCACACUUUUUCUUACUCACAGCUCAAAGCUCAAAAUGAUGAUGACUCUAUAGGAAAUGCCUCCGACAGUGUACCGGGAUGUGCAAUGAUCUAGCAUGGCGUAAGACAUUGGAACAUCUCGCUAGCUAUCUUAGAAUCAUGCAAUGGCAAUAUGAGAGUGACGACACAAGUCAUGAGACGGAACGGUGCGUGUUGCAUGGCAAUAUAUCUCAGAAUGGCUAUGAAAAUGCCAUAGUAGGUAGGUAUGGUGGCUGUUUUGAGGAAGGCAUAUGGUGGGUUUGUGCACCGGCGAGAAUUGCGCGGCACUAGAGAGGCUAGCAAUGGUGGAAGGUGGAAGUGCAUCUAUACCAUGGACUCACAUUAGUCAUGAAGAACUCACAUACUUGUUGCGAAAGUUUUUAUUAGUAAUCGAAACAAAGUGCUAAACGGAUACUCCUAGGGGAAGGGUUGGUAGGUGUUAACCAUCACGCGAUCCCGACCUCAACACAAAGGAUGACAAUCAAUAGAUCAAUUAUGCUCCGACUUCCUAACAUAGCGGUUCACCAUACGUGCAUGCUACGGUAAUCACUAAAUUCAACACAAGUAUUUCUAGAUUCACAACACCCUACUAAGAUAGCUCCUAAUAUUACCAAAUCCACGUCUCAAAACUAAUUGAGAGGAAUCAAGACUUCUAUUUCUACUCAAUGCACAUGAAGAUGGAGGUUUUUGCAUCCUCUUUGGGUACCUAUCACAUUUGGGACUACUUUCAUAGCAUAAGCCAACUACCAAGUCAUGCACUGCCGUGCUCUAAAAGAUAUAAGUGAAGCACAUAGAGCAAAUGUAUCUAGCUCAAAAGAUAUAAGUGAAGCACUAUGAGCAUUCUAGCAAAAAUCACGAUGAGUGCAUGUCUCUCUCUCUCUCAAAAAGGUGUGUAGCAAGGAUGAUUGUGACACAACAACAAGAAAAGACUCCUAAGAUAAAAGACGCUCCAAGAAAAACACAUAUCAUGUGGUGAAUAAAAAUAUAGCUCCAAGUAAUGUUACCGAUGGAUUGAAGAUGAAAGAGGGGAUGCCUUCCCGGGCCAUCCCCAAGCUUAGGCUUUUUGGUGUCCUUGAAUUUGUCUUGGGAUGACUUGGGCAUCCCCAAGCUUGAGCUCUUUCCACUCCUUAUCUCUUUGUGCAUGAGAACAUCACCCAAAACUUGAAAACUUCACAACACAAAACUUAAACAAGAACUCGUGAUAACAUUAGCACAAGAAAACAAACUACCACUUCUUUUGGUACUGUAGCAAACUUGAAUUCUACAUAUAUUGGUGUUGGGCUACUGUAUUCUCACUUUUCCAUGGCUUGUACCCCCCCCGAUACUAACCAUAGUUUCAUCAAAACAAGCAACCAACUCAACAAAACAUAAUCUGUCAAAAACAGACCAGUCUGUAGCAAUCUGUAUACUUCGUAUACUUCUAGUACCUCAAAAAAUCUGAAAAGUUACGACGGUGUGGGAAAAAGGCAUAUCAACCAGCAGAAAAAAGAAUCAACUCAAAAUCUCUUUCUGAAUAAAAAUGAAAAAUCAUCUCGUGAGCGAAAAGUUUCUGUCUUUUUCCAGCAGGAUCAAACAACCAUUACCAAGACUAGUCAUAAAGGUUUUGCUUGGCUCAAACACAAAAAGAAACACAAAAAACACAAUCACAACAGAAUUGUGAUGGUGUGGACGCAACAAAACAGAAAGAAAAAUAUAAAUUCAUUGGGUUGCCUCCCAACAAGCGCUAUUGUUUAACGCCCUUAGCUAGGCAUAAAAGCGAUAGAAUCACGUAUCGUCGUCUUUGGUGCUCAAACCAUAAGUGGCCCGCAUGAUGGAUUCAUAAGGCAAUCUUAUUUUCUUUCUAGGAAAGUUUUCCAUGCCCUUCCUUAAAGGAAAUUGAAAUCUAAUAUUCCCUUCCUUCAUAUCAAUGAUAGCACCGAUAGUCCUUAGGAAAGGUCUACCAAGAAUAAUAGGGCAUGUAGGAUUGCAAUCAAUGUCAAGCACAAUGAAAUCCACGGGUACAUAGUUCCUAUUUGCAAUAAUAAGAACAUCAUUGAUCCUUCCCAUGGGUUUCUUGAUAGUAGAAUCAGCAAGAUGCAAAUUAAGAGAACACUCUUCAAUCUCAUUAAAACCCAGAACAUCACAUAAAGACUUUGGAAUCGCGGAAACACUAGCACCCAAAUCACACAAAGCAUUACAUUCAUAGUUUUUUAUUUUGAUUUUGAUGGUAGGUUCCCACUCAUCAUGAAGCUUUCUAGGGAUAGAGACUUCCAAUUCAAGUUUCUCUUCAAGAGAUUUUAUCAUAGCUUCGACGAUAUGAUUGGUAAAGGCCUUGUUUUCGCUAUAAGCGUGUGGAGAGUUUAACAUGGAUUGCAUCAAAGAAAUGCAUUCAAUCAAGGAGCAACUAUCAUAAUUGAAUUCCUUGAAAUCCAUGGUAGUAAUUUCAUUACUACUCAAAGUUUUAAUAUCUUCUAGUCCACUUUUAAUGCUUUUAGCAUCAAGAUAGAUGGACUCCGAAUCAUUGGAGCACUUUUCAACCAAAGUGGAUUCAUAUCCAGCCCCAUAAUCAUUAGGUUUGACACAAGAAAACAAAGAUUCAAUGGGUGUCACACCAAGAACUUUAAGAUCUUCGUGAUUCUUAUCACGAGAACACGCCUUUUUAAGCCAUUCAUGUCUAGCACGAAUUUGGGCGGUUCUUUCUUGGCUCUCAAUCAUGGAAACACGCAUAACUUUCAAAGUUUCAUCCAUGUUGAUUUUGGGAGGAGCACAUCUAACUUUCAAAGCAUCAACAUCACUAGACAUUCUAUCAACGCUCUUAGCCAAAUCGUCAAUUUUGAGUAGCUUUUCCUCUAUGGACGCAUUGAAAAUCUUUUGAGAGUUGAUGAACUCUUUGAUAUUACUCUCUAGAUCAGAGGGUAAUCUAUUGUAAUUUCCAUGAGUAUUGUUGUAGGAGUUGCCAAAGUUAUUAGAGGAGUUACUAGGAAAAGGCCUAGGAACAUAGUUUCCUCUAAAAACAUUAUUGUUGCCAAAGUUAUUCCUACCAAAAAAAUUAACGUCCAAGCUAGCGUUGCUACUCUCAAUCAAAGAAGACAAGGGCAUAUCAUUAGGAUCCAAAGGAGCACUUCUACUGGCAACCAAAUUCAUUAACUCGUCCAUCUUAGCACUCAACGAGUUAAUUUCUUCUAUAGCGUGUACCUUCUUACUAGUAGGUGAGCUUUCAGUAUGCCACUGAGAGUAGUUCGUCAUGAUAUUGUCUAGGAGAUUUGUGGCCUCCCCUAAAGUGAUUUCCAAGAACGUUCCACCUGAGGCGGAGUCCAAGGUAUUUCUAGAAGCGAAAUUCAAGCCAGCGUAAAAGAUUUGUAUAAUCAUCCAAAGACUCAAGCCAUGAGCGGGACAAUUUCUAAUCAUUAAUUUCAUUCUCUCCCAAUGUUGUGAAACAUGUUCAUGAUCAAGUUGCUUGAAAUUCAUGAUAUCAUUACGGAGAGAGAUAAUCUUAGCCGGUGGAAAAUACUUGGAUAUAUAAGCAUCUUUGCACUUAUCCCAAGAAUCGAUACUAUUUUUGGGCAAAGAAGAAAACCAAGUUUUUGCGUGAUCUCGCACCGAGAAAGGAAAAAGCUUCAAUUUAAUCACGUCAUUAUCCAAAUCUUUCUUAUUUUGCAUAUCACAAAGCUCAAUGAAGGUAUUGAGAUGGGAUGCGGCAUCUUCGCUAGGAAGGCCGGAGAAUUGCUCUUUCAUAACAAGAUUCAACAAAGCGGCAUUGAUUUCGUAUGACUCCGCACUAUUGGCGGGAGCAAUCGGAGUACUAAUAAAAUCAUUAUUAUUAGUAUUUGAGAAGUCACAAAGUUUGGUGUUUUCAUUCAUGGUGACUUUAGCAAGCAAGCAAGCACACGAGCGAACAAAGAGCAAGUGAGAAAAGGGCGAACGAAAAGGCAAACGAAAAAGGCAAACGAAAAAGGCAGAUUGUGAAGUGGGGGAGAGGAAAACAAGAGGCAACUGACAAACAAAGUAAAUGCAAGAGAUGAGUUUGCGACACCUACUUGGAUGAGUUCUUGACUUGAUCCUCCCCGGCAACGGUGCUAGAAAUCCUUCUGCUACGUCAACAAAAGUCCUUCCCUGGUAGUGGUGCCAGAGAUCCUUCUGUCGUCUCUUGAGCUUGCCUUGGUUUUUCCCUUGAAGAGGAAAGGGUGAUGCAACACAGGAGCAGUAAGUAUUUCCCUCAGUUUGAGAACCAAGGUAUCAAUCCAGUAGGAGAAUCUCGUCAAGUCUAGAGUACCUGCACAAACACAAAAGAGCUUGCACCCAACGCUUUAAAGGGGUUGUCAAUCCCUUCAAGAUUGUUUGCAAAGUGAGAUCUGAAGGCGGAAAGUGCAACGAAGUAAAAAGUGUAAGGCUGAUAAUAUGGUGUGGAGUAGACCCUGGGGGCCAUAGUGUUCACUAGAGGCUUCUCUCAAAAUAGCAAGUAUUACGGUGGGUGAACAAAUUACUGUUGAGCAAUUGAUAGAACCGCACAAAGUCAUGACGAUAUCUAAGGCAAUGAUCAUACAUAUAGGCAUCACGUCUGAGACAAGUAGACCGAUACUUUCUACAUCUACUACUAUUACUCCACACAUCGACCGCUAUCCAUCAUGCAUCUAGUGUAUUGAGUUCACGACGAACAGAGUAACGCCUUAAGCAAGAUGACAUGAUGUAGAGGGAUAAUCUCAAACCAAUGAUGAAAACCCCAUCUUUUUACCCUUGAUGGCAACAACACGAUACAUGCCUCGCUACCCUACUUUCACUAGGUGAGGUCACCGCACGGUAUGAACCCAAAACCAAGCACUUCUCCCAUUGCAAGAAUCAUAGAUCUAGUUGGCCAGACAAAACCCACAACUCGAAGAGAAUUACAAGGAUAUGAAAUCAUGCAUAAGAGAGUUCAGAAGAAACUCAAAUAAGCUUCAUAGAUAAUCUGAUCAUAAAUCCACAAUUCAUUGGAUCUCGACAAACACACCGCAAANCCCGUAGGUCUAUGGUGAAUUACUCACGCAUCAUCGAAGAGGUCAUGGUGUUUAUGAAGACGCCCUCCGUGUCCGAAUCCCCCCUCCGGAAGGGCACCAGGACGUGCCCCAGAUGGGAUCUUGCGGACAUAGAAGCUUGUGGCGGCGGAAAAGUACUUUCGAUGAUCUGUUGUUUUUUUGUGGAAUUUUUGGGGAUAUAUAGGUGCAAAACCUAGGUCAAAGGAGGUCCAGGGGACCCACAAGCCUGAGGGACGCGGCCUCCCCCCUCGCCGUGGGGUGGGGGCUUGUGGGGCCCCUGGGGACCCCCUGCCUUGGCUCUCAAGUCUCCUGAUCUUCUUCCAUUACGGAAAAAAUCUUUUCGUGGAUUUUAUUCUGUUUGGACUCCGUUUCAAAUUCGCCUCUGAAAGGGGUCAAAAACAUGGAAAUAACAGGAACUGGCACUUGGCAGUGAGUUAAUAAGUUAGUCCCAAAAAAUAUAUAAAAGGCAUGCAAAACAUCCAAAGUUUGACAAGAUAAUAGCAUAAAACCAUCAAAAAUUAUAGNNNNNNNNNNNNNNNNNNNNNNNNNNNNNNNNNNNNNNNNNNNNNNNNNNNNNNNNNNNNNNNNNNNNNNNNNNNNNNNNNNNNNNNNNNNNNNNNNNNNNNNNNNNNNNNNNNNNNNNNNNNNNNNNNNNNNNNNNNNNNNNNNNNNNNNNNNNNNNNNNNNNNNNNNNNNNNNNNNNNNNNNNNNNNNNNNNNNNNNNNNNNNNNNNNNNNNNNNNNNNNNNNNNNNNNNNNNNNNNNNNNNNNNNNNNNNNNNNNNNNNNNNNNNNNNNNNNNNNNNNNNNNNNNNNNNNNNNNNNNNNNNNNNNNNNNNNNNNNNNNNNNNNNNNNNNNNNNNNNNNNNNNNNNNNNNNNAACCAUCAAAAAUUAUAGAUACGUUGGAGACGUAUCUCCCGACUAUCUACAGAUCCCUUGUUAAAGGGCCAGGUCGUAGCUGGGACACCAGCUACUCGUCGUCAUCGAUGUCUACAUAGAACCCACCUGUUGGCUCGUGGGUAUCCUCUGCAACAAUUAUUAAGCAAACAUGAGUACAAUAGUACUCAGUAAGACUUUAGAACAAAUCUAUCUACUCAUGCUCACGUAUCAAUAAAGGGGGUUGUGGUGUUUCAUGCGGCAAGCCAGCGUUGACUCUUGGCUAGGCUAAACUACAAUUUGUAAAUAGUUUUAACAACUUUGAUAAGUCGUACACGAGUCCACUACCACCACAAUAAUACAUUAUCAUGGACUCCUUUCUGUCUCCCUACGGAAAUGCCAUACAUGAUACUCAUGCUUAUCUUGAUACUUUUAUGAGUAGCCAUUAAAGUAGUCCAUAUCCGCGGACGCGGCUAUUCGAAUAGAUCAUAACCCCGCAGGGGUGUACUUCUUCACACACGCUCUCGCCACUUAUCGCCAUGUGCACGUCAUGCACCUCGGCAACCUUCAAGCGGAAGCCCAACGAGGGAGUCGGCCACGACCGUUAACCACACUAAUACCUAGUCCAGGUUUAUCGCCUAUUUGAGAGUGAACCCGCACGGAAGUCCGACCGAGGUUUCCGCCACGGCCCCAAACGAUGUGCGCAGGGUUCUCAAGCCCACCAUCCGGGUGCCACUUGGUACACUGUGCCACUGCCAACCGCAUCAUAGCCCACCUCUAAGGUCAGCACUAUGCACGGCCUCUAGCAUGACUAUAAACACCAGAAACUACUUGCAACUCCUGGACCGAGUACUAGUCGAUUAAUAAGUCGACCGGGGUCAUAUUUCAGGGCCUAGCAUGUGGUAGUAACUCGUCUUGGAUUACAUACACGAAACUCAGUUCCUAAGGACCGUUCCAAUGAAACAACCCGCCAUGUACUCCUACAUAGCCUUUCAUCGGUACCUUUACAAAAUCAGGUUCCACACUUAUUCUUUGUCACUAGAACACAUUCAUCCAUUCCUGUUCAUCACCCAAAUGAAACAGACCUGACACAACUCUAGGCAUAGCAAGCAUAGCAGGAAAAUCACAUCAUGGCUCAAGCAACUACCAGGUAUGCUAGGUUGCAAGGUUUGGCUAUUUACUGUGACAAUGACAGGUCAUGCAAAGGAAUAGGUUCAGCUAUCGAAGUAAAGCAUUUGAAAUAUUUUGUCCUAAUGUAAUAAGUGGGAGCACGAGCAAGAACAUGGGAUUAUACCGGGAUGAUCAAAAGGGUGCUUGCCUUGUUGCUCAUCAGAAGGAUUAAAUCCGUCAGGCGGAUAUUCAGACGUAUCCGAAAGAGCAGAGCCUACCGAAAUAAUAACAUCAAUCAAUAACAUUCAUAUGCAACUAUAUGAUGCAUGAUCAUGGCAUGAAAUAAAGUGUAGCAUGAGCUAGUGUGGCUAUCAAACCUUUGGAAUGGUGCUGAUUUGAAUUCAGAUUCAAAUAUUAGUUGAAAUAGUAUAUUUAUCAUAUUCAUUUAAUUGAUUUGACCUGAUGCUGUUUCAUAACUUAGUUUUUCAUGCAUGAAAGUAGCACCAUUGUGUUCAUUGAAUUUUUUUGAUUAAUUUGCAUAUAUUAUUUGUCAAAUUUGGAGUUAUAAUCAAUUUUCUAUGAAUUUCCAAAGUUUUGCACUUAUUCUGGAAUUAAUAUAAAUCAGAAUUAUAGUUACUGCAUCAGCAUGACAUGAGCAGGUCCAACUGGCCGUUGAAAGUAAAACCUGACCAAUGGGACCCACUAGUGAGUGACUCUGGCCAGAAUUUAAUUAAACUUUAUGUUAAUUAGUUAUUAAUAGGGGUUGGCCCACAUGUCAAUGACUGUUUAGGGUUUUAAUUAUUCAUUUUUUUAUUAACCUAAACUUAAUUAGUCAAGGGGCUGGCCCCACCUUUCAUAGAGCCAGGGGGUCAAACCCACCGGCGAUGGGGUCAAACCCACCGGUGAUGGGGUCAAACCCACCGGCGGCGAGCCUCCGGUGACUCCAGGGACGACGGAGGGCUUCGGGAUUGCUCCUCUAGCGACCAAAAGGACGGCGGAGGGCACCAGGGGAACGACCACUCGAUGGCGCAUCCAUUUUUGCUAGUCCCAGGGGCUGAAACGGCCGGAGCUAACGUCGGUGACGAGCUCGGCGGCUGUUGGAGCUUGGGCAAUGUCGAGGUCAUCGACCCAGUGGGCAAAAGGGACGGGGCUUGGCUCAUACAACAUGUACACGUUGAGCUGGAGCUGAUGGAAGCCUUAGAUCGACCAACCGAUCACCAGAGCGACAUCGACGACGAGCUCCCGCGGCGGAUCUCGUCGGGCUCUAGUGGAAUCGGGGCCUAGGACAAGGGAUCGAGGGGGAAAGCACCCUGGGCUCAUGGGGAUUGCAGAGGCAUCGAAAGCGUGCUCGGGGACGGCCUGGAGUGGGAGAACGACGUCGGCGAUCAAUGGCGACCCGAGGAAGAAGACGACGGCUAUCUGGCGAUGCAGGGCUCGGGGGCUCUUCUCCUUUGGCAGGGAAGACAUGCUCGAUGAGGCAGAGCGAACGACAUGCUCAGAGAGGCUUGGGGUGGCCAGGAAUGACGACGCGCUCGAGCUCGAGCUCGGCUCCAAUGGCGUCCGAGAGAGAGAGAGAGACGCAGGGGGAGAGUGAGGAGGGGGAGAGAGAUGGAAUGGAUUGCGGGGAGGGUUAUCCUCCUUGCCAGCGCGAAGGAGGAUCCAGGCAGGCAGGCAGGUGCAUGGCCUCACCGAAGCGAGCGGCGACCACCUCCUGCUGCCGACUAGCAAGAGGAAGAUGACAUCGAGGCGAUCUGGGCUAGGCCAGGUGAGCGAUAGGUAAGCGUUUUCUCUUUUCUUUCUUUUUUGUUUUCUGUUUUAAACUUUCUGACAUUUGUUUCAUUUUAUUUUUGGCUCCAAACUAUUUCUAAAAUAGUAAAAAUAAUGUUGGGGUGUUAGUUGUAAUAUUUCCAACCCCACAUAAAGUUUUCAACAUUUUAUGAAACUCUGAAGUAUUUGAAAUCAAAUAUAUAGUUGAUUUCAGUGGCUUUUGUAUUUAAAAUAAAAUGCCAAAGGUAUUUUUAAAAACAAAUCCACCCCUGAAUUGUGGUUUCCAAUAUUUAUAAAAAAUGAUGGACUUUUAUGAAGGCCAUUUUGGGUUCAUUGAUUUGUCUCCACUUUGAAUUGUUUUGAAUAUAGAGUUGCUAGGGAUUUUCUCUUUGAUUUCCAUUUUCAUUUUUAAUGCAAGAAUGAAAAUAUGAGCACAAUCUUGCUAAUCAUCAAAGGGGUAGCUAGGGAUGUGACAACUGACCCCCACUCAAAAGAAUCUCGUCCCGAGAUUUGGAAGUCGUCGGGAAUAGCGCGGGAUACUCAAGUCAAAGACGGUCCUCUCUUUCCCAUGUUGCCUCUUUUUCAGAAUGAUUUGACCAUUGAACUUUAAGAAACUUGAGGUUUCGACGUCGAGUGGUACGCUCAGCUUGAUCAAGAAUACAAUCAGGAUACUCUCGGUAUGAAAGGUUAUCUUGGAGAUCAAGCGUUUCGUGGUCCACUUCAGGGAUAGGAUCCGAGAAAGCAACACCUGAGUUGCGAGAUGUGGAAAACAUCAUGAACCUUGGAAAGAUGCGGAGGAAGUUCCAACUGGUAGGCAACUUCUCCUAGUUUGGCAAGAAUGCGAAAAGGACCAAUGUAACGAGGAGCCAAUUUGCCUUUGAUACCGAAAUGAUGGGUACCCUUCAUAGGUGUAGCCCGAAGGUAAGCCUUCUCGUCAACUUCAAAGGUCACAGCCUUAUGAUAACGGUCAUAUUGGCUCUUUUGACGAGACUGGGCUGUUUUCAACUUUUCAUGAAUAAUGCGAACUUGCUCUUCUGCUUCCUGGAUCAUAUCCGGACCAAAGAGUUGCCUCUCUCUAGUUUCUGACCAAUUAAGAGGGGUUCGACAUCUUCGUCCAUAGAAAACUUCAAAAGGGGCUUUGCCCAAGCUUGAUUGAUAAUUAUUGUUAUAAGCAAAUUCGGCUAAUGGAAUGCACUUCUCCCAGUUCGUACCGAACGAUAUAACACAAGCUCGGAGCAUAUCCUCUAGGAUUUGAUUCACUCUUUCUACUUGACCACUUGAUUGAGGAUGGAAAGCAGUGCUAAAAGAUAGGUGAGUCCCCAUGGCAUUCUGAAAACUUUCCCAGAAGUGAGAAGUAAAGAUACUCCCACGAUUUGAGUUAAUCUCCAGAGGAACACCAUGAAGGGACACUAUUCGAGAGAGAUAUAACUUUGCUAGCUGGCUCGCUGUUAUACUCUCGCGAACUAGAAGAAAAUGAGCUACUUUGGAAAGACGGUCAAUGACCACAAAGAUAGCAUUAUUUCCUUUCUUGGUCUUGGGAAAUCCAGUGAUGAAAGCCAUACUAACUUUAUCCCAUUUCCAUUCAGGAAUAGCUAAGGGUUGAAGGGUGCCAGCAGGCCUUUGAUGUUCUGCCUUAACUCGACGACAAACAUCGCAGUUAGGAACGAACUCAACAAUUUCACUCUUCAUCCUAGUCCACCAAAACCUCUCGCGUAGGUCCUGAUACAUCUUAGUACUACCAGGAUGAAUAGUGAGAGGAGAAUCAUGAGCCUCCUUAAGGAUCAUCUGCCUUAGAUGUGGAUUCUUAGGAACCACUAGACGGUUCUAGAAAAACACAACAUCUUGAUCAUUCACGGAGAAUUCCUUAGCGUUUCCGCUAAUAACAUUCUCUUUGAUCCGUGAUAUACCCUUAUCAUGCUUUUGGCCAACUAUGAUUUGAUCCCUAAGAGUAGGUUUCGCCACCAGGGUAGAAAGGAAUCCUUGAGGAACAAUGUGGAGGUUUAACUUCCAAAAUUCCUCAUAGAUACGUGGUUGACCUUGUUGUAGCAUCAGAUUGUUACAAUAAGACCUACGACUUAGUGCAUGAGCCAUAACAUUGGCCUUCCCCGGGGUGUAAGUUAUCCCUAAGUCAUAAUCUGAGAUCAACUGAACCCAUCGUCUUUGCCUGAGAUUCAAAUCCGGCUGGGUGAAGAUAUAUUUCAGACUUUGGUGAUCAGUGAAUAUUUCGCAACGAUUACCAAGAAGGUAAUCUUGCCAGGUUUUAAGUGCAUGGACUACAGCUGCAAGCUCAAGAUCAUGUGUGGGAUAAUUAUCCUCAUGUGCACGCAACUGUCGAGAUGCGUAUACAAUCACAUGAUGGUCCUGCAUGAGAAUGCAACCUAAUCCUUGUCGCGAGGCAUCGCAAUAGAUAACAAAGUCCUUAGAGAAAUCUGGUGGUAGCAACACAGGCGCGGAAGUCAGGCGUCUUUUCAGUUCCUUAAAACUAUGCUCACACUGUGGUGUCCAGUCGAACUUUUUAUCUUUCUUGAGGAGUUCAGUUAGAGGUUUUGCAACCUUGGAGAAAUUCUGGACAAAGCGACGACAAUAGCUCGCUAGUCCAAGAAAACUCCUAACUUGCUUAACCAAUUCAGGUUGAGUCCAAUCAAGGACGGCUUGAACUCUCUCGGGAUUGACAACAAUACCCUUACCAGAGAUUACGUGGCCUAGAUAGGUCACUUCUGGUAACCAGAAUUCACAUUUUGAAAACUUGGCAUAAAGGCGAUGCUCUCGAAGUCUCAUCAGUACCAGCCUUAGAUGCUCGGCAUGUUCUUGUUCGUUCUUCGAGUAGAUGAAAAUAUCAUCGAGGUAUACCAUGAUGAAUUUAUCCAAAUACUCCAUGAAGAUUGAAUUCAUCAAGCGAGAGAAGGUGGCUGGGCAUUGGUUAAACCGAAGGGCAUGACAGUGUACUCGUAUUGGCCAUAACGAGUAAUGAAGCCGUUUUUGGAAUGUCCCCGUUCUUGAUCUUGAUUUGAUUGUAACCCAACCUCAAAUCCAUUUUGGAGAAAAUUGAGGAUCCAGCGAGUUGAUCAUAUAGAUCGUUGAUCCUCGGGAGCGGAUACUUGUUCUUUAUGGUGACCAGAUUAACUGGUCGAUAAUCUACAACCAUCCGGUCCGUUCCAUCCUUCUUCUUCACGAAUAGGAGGAGACAAGCCCAAGGAGAAGAGCUAGGACGAAUGAAACCUUUAUUCAAGGCCUCAUCUAGUUGCUUCUUAAGUUCAGCUAGCUCCAAGGGUGCCAUCUUAUAGGGACUUUUGGCUAUUGGGACAGUUCCUGGAACAAGGUCUAUCACAAACUCUACGUCCCUGUCAGGUGGAAUUCCUGGCAGUUCUUCUGGAAAAACAUCCGGGAAGUCAUGGACUACCGGAAUGUCUUCAAGCUCUGGGAGAGGAUUGGCAUUGAGGGAAUAGAGUUGACAUUUGGCAACUCUAGUAGAGACAUUAACUAUCUCACCCGAGGGAUGGGUAAGCUGAACAUUUUUGGUAUGGGUAUCAAUCUUGGCAUAAUGAGCUGCCAUCCAUUCCAUACCCAAGAUGAUAUUGAUAUCUGAGGAUUUCAGGGCUAUCGAUGGUGCUAGGAAAAUUAGCCUGUCUACUAGGAUUUCAUUGUCAUAACUUAUCCUAGAAGUUUGCCAUUUACUACCUCGGGUUUGGACAACUAAUGGGAUUGGCAUAUCACAAAAGAACAUGUUAUGCAACUGUGCAUAGGAAAUGAAGGAAUGAGAUGACCCAGUAUCAAAAAGAACAGACGCUGGGUGAUGAUUCACAAGGAGCGUACCCAAAAUGACGUCGGGAUCCUAUGCAGCUUCUUUUGCUGAGACAUAAUUCACGCGACCAUGCAUAGGAGUUGGCUUCACAUAAUAAGAUUUUCCCGACUUGCCUUGCCCAACAAACUUCCCAGGUUGCUUGGCACCUAUGUUCUAAGGACACUCUCGUGAAUAGUGCCCUGGUUCUCCACACUUGUAACAGAUCACCUGAUUGGCACGUGGUGCAGCAUUGCUAGCUGGACCACCAUAGGUCUUUGCUGGAGGGUUGGUCUGGUUCGCCUUAGGAGCCACAUAGGAUGGCCUCGGGGUAUAUCUUGGCGCCACAGAGCUAUUCGGAACCCGCAACCUGUGUUUUGGAAACGCAAAACCAGAUGAGGAGCCUGAAUCGCGAGAGUGCUUCUUCGUGGCUUCAUAGUCGGUAUGACCAGUCUCGGCACUGAUCGCCUUCUUGACAAGAGCUUGAAAACUUGUACAUUCAUGAAGGCGCACGUCACGACGAAGUUCGGGGCUCAGACCCUUGCAGAAUCUUGCUUGCUUCUUGGCAUCAGUUGACACCUCUUCAGUUGCGUAGCGAGCGAGAUCACCGAACUCACGGCUAUAAGCAUCCACGGUCAACUUUCCUUGGGUGAAGGCACAUAGUUCCUCUCUCUUACGGUCCAUCAGACCCUGUGGGAUGUGGUGCACACGGAAGGCUGCACUGAAAUCUGCCCAUGUGGCUGCUGGUCCGGCAGGACGCAUAGCUUCAAAUUUCUCCCACCACAGAUUGGUGGGACCUUCCAGGAAAUACGCAGCAAAGGUCACCUUGUCGGCCUCAGAAACAUUGGCAGAGCGUAUCUUGCAUGAUAUACUGCACAACCAGUCAUCAACGUUGGGAGGAUCGACGGAGUGAUGGAACUUCGGGGGAUUCAGAUUCACAAACUCAUUGAGAGAUGUUGCAUCAUUUCGCAGUUGACGUGCCGUGGUUUGCUCAAUACGUUCUAGCAGACGGUUGGUCUCUCGCUUGUUUCUUUCCACCUUAAGAUAACUUCUGCCAGAGAAGGCGGGUGAGGCAGUUCCUCCUGUGCUUCCUGACUACCUUCUCCCUGCUCAUGGGUAGGGGCACGGUUCAGCCUGGUAAACACCAUCCUCGCAAACAAACUCACAGCUUAGACUAGUAUCAACAUCAACAUUAUCUAUGGAUUAAGAAUGCACUGAACACAUGGAAUGCGAAAAUGAACAUCCGAACAACAUGGUAACAAGCAACUGCUAUAUAAACACCAUGGUUCAUACACGCCAUUACAUAGUUUAGUACAACCUCAAACCGAAGAGCAAACUAUGGAAAAGAUGAUACUACUCAUUAGAGGCUUUCCAAGCUUCCUAUACAUUAUUUAUCUAUGCCCCCAGAACUCAUGUCACGACAUAGGCAUACUCCACAAGAUACACAGGACUGUGGAAUUACAACUACUACCAUACUACUCUUCCACUCAUGGGUUCAAGCAUCCACAUAAAACAUCUCAUAAAGGUUGCCUCCAUGGCCUGGGAGCUCAACCUGCGGAUCAGGAAAUACUCGAGCCUGAGACCCCUGGGAACCGUAAGGACACGGGUGUGGCCUUGGUCCCCUGACUGGUGGUAGUAGAGGUCCCCGAAGAGGGGUGUCACCUCCUAUAGCAGGCCAGUCAACAUGAGCUGGAAGAUGAGUCCUAACAGGGUUCAACAUCUCCAUAUCUCCAUACCAAGUCUGAACUACAGGUGGCAGUUGUGUCAAAGUUGUCCACAAGCGGGCACGAGUAGCAUAGAGCUCCAUACGAAGGGCACGAGCAUCUUUGUCUCUAUUCUCUAAAAUCUCAGUGAUGGACUGCAGCAGCAGAUCCUCCAUAGAGGAAUCAAAGUAGACCCCACUGAGGUAUCCUUCUUCUCCUGGCUGAGAAGCGGGAACAUAGCAGAACUCUGAAUUCCGCAGCAGUGCAUGUCUGGCUCUCAUGAUGGUCAACAUGGAAUAGGCAACAUCUUGUACCACCAUGUCAACAGUAACCCCCAAUCCAUAAGACCAAUGGAUUGGCUCCUCGGCUCCAAGGUAAUCUGGGAAUACCCUAACAGUGCAUAGAUACCGAAUCUGGUUGAAAUCCCGGUACUGCUCCUCCACUGUAUACUCUGGGUACCAGCGGUAACCGGCUACUGACAUCAUCCUGACCAGCAUGGCCGUGUGACCCGGCACAUCAAUGCACCUAGUCAGACGAACCACCUGCCGUGAAGGACGGCCAGGCAUCUGAAAUAGAGAGUAAUGCAAGAGGCAUUAGAGCUGUGGAGAUAAAAUUGGGCAGCAUAACGGCUGUAAAUGCUCAAAAACAAUUUUGAGACAACCCACAACAGAUAGGAUAGCAUAACCACUGAGCUAUCAAGUUCAAUUCCAUGGUCAUGAAUACUUAUUUUCUUUUCCUUGGAACAAAAGAAACUCGGAUUAACUCUCGAACCAUUUUCCUACAAUUUACCGAUUAGUGACACACGAUCCUAAGAGAUAGAUAAGUAACCUAGUUCUUAAUCCCCAUAGAAAAGAUGAGGAUGACCAGAAUAGAAUGACUUAAGAAGAGAAGCAAGAAACUUACGUUCCCUUCCACAAACAAUUCCCUUAUAUAUAACUAAAGCAAUUCUAGACUCAACUUUGACCAGUUUGGCUUGGUAAUCGUACAGUCAGUCAGGCUCUGAUACCAACGUUGUCGGGACCCCAAUCCUAAGCCAUAGGAAUCCAACCUAUAACACAUCGCAUCCCUUUGCGGUCUCACGCACGGUUAACCCAACGGCUGCCACCUCACCUUAGCCGGGACCGUUUGCGCCUUUUGACUCACGUAUGCAUUUGUGUCGCUAGCAUUCCAAUGUCAAAGAACCCAGGUCGACAUAACUAGUCAUAAAUCAAGUGGCUCGAGUGUACAGAGACAGACAUACAUAACCCAACGAAGCAGGUGUUGGUCAUGAGCGAGUGUAGAUGAGUCGUAGCAAGCUAUAAGGACACCAUUACACCACGUGACAUUUCCCCAUAGGGACAGACACAACAGCUAAGAAGGAUACAUGCCGGUCAACCAAUGUGUAUGGAGCAGUAGCUAACUACCAAGGCUCGAUGGAAUCACAAAGGGGCAUUUCUCUGUAUAGAGAGCUAUUAAGGGCAUACAACUAGGUGUCGAAUCCCAUACAUAUCAUAGUGCAUCACAAGUACGCAUGACAUACUCGACAUGCGUAGAUACAACAAUGGCAUCACAACAUAACCAUACAACAACACAACAUUUAUUUAGAAGACUCGAAAGAGUCUCGCAUAAUAUGUUCAUACAAGCAGGGGUCACAUGACCCGACACUCAAGUCAUACAAGCAGAGUUAUACAAACCAACGGAAGCAUAAAAGCUGUCUGAGUACUGAUGACCCACAAGUGUAGGGGAUCUAUCGUAGUACUUUCGAUAAGUAAGAGUGUUGAACCCAACGAGGAUCAGAAGGAUCUGACAAGUGGUUUUCAGCAAGGUAAUCUCUCCAAGCACUGAAAUUGUCGGUAACAAAUAGUUGUGUGAUAAGAUGAUUCGCAGCAUGUAACAAGUAACAAUAGUAACAUUGGUGCAGCAAAGUGGCCCAAUCCCUUUUAUAGCAAGGGACAAGCCUGGACAAACUCUUAUCGGAGGUAAAGCGCCCCCGAGGACACAUGGGAAAUUCUGUCAAGCUAGUUUUCAUCAUGUUCAUAUGAUUCACGUUCGCUACUUUGACAGUUUUAUAUGUGGGUGUACCGGUGCUUGGGUACUUCCGUUACUUGGACAAACCUCCCACUUAUGAUUAACCCCUCUUGCAAGCAUCUGCAACUAUGAAAGAAGAAUUAAUACAAAGUCUAACCAUAGCAUUAAACUAGUGGAUCCAAAUCAUCCCCUUACGAAGCAACGCAUAAAAUAGGGUUUAAGCUUCUGUCACUCUAGCAACCCAUCAUCUACUUAUUACUUCCCAAUGCCUUCCUCUAGGCCCAAAUAAUAGUGAAGUGUUAUAUAGUCGAUGUUCACAUAACACCACUAGNNNNNNNNNNNNNNNNNNNNNNNNNNNNNNNNNNNNNNNNNNNNNNNNNNNNNNNNNNNNNNNNNNNNNNNNNNNNNNNNNNNNNNNNNNNNNNNNNNNNNNNNNNNNNNNNNNNNNNNNNNNNNNNNNNNNNNNNNNNNNNNNNNNNNNNNNNNNNNNNNNNNNNNNNNNNNNNNNNNNNNNNNNNNNNNNNNNNNNNNNNNNNNNNNNNNNNNNNNNNNNNNNNNNNNNNNNNNNNNNNNNNNNNNNNNNNNNNNNNNNNNNNNNNNNNNNNNNNNNNNNNNNNNNNNNNNNNNNNNNNNNNNNNNNNNNNNNNNNNNNNNNNNNNNUUCACAUAACACCACUAGAGGAAAAACAACAUACAACACAUCAAAAUAUCGAACGAAUACCAAAUUCACAUGACUACUUAUAGCAUGACUUAUCCCAUGUCCUCAAGAACAAAAGUAACUACUCACAAAGAAUAAUUAUGUUCAUGACCAGAGAGAUAUUGAAUAGCAUCAAGGAUCUGAAAAUAUAAUCUUCCACCGAGUAAUCCAAUUAGCAUCAACUACAAAGAGUAAUUAACACUACUAGCAACCUUACAAGUACCAAUCGGAGUCGCGAGACGGAGAUUGGUUACAAGAGAUGAACUAGGGUUUCGAGAUGAGAUGGUGCUGAUGAAGAUGUUGAUGGUGAUGAGUUACCUUCGAUGAGAGGAGUGUUGGUGAUGACGAUAGCGACGACUUCGCCCUCCGGGAGGGAAGUUUUCCCCGCAGGACGACCCUGUCGGAGCUCUAGAUUGGUUCUGCUCAAGUUCCGCCUCAUGGCGGCGGCGAAUCCUCCCGAAACCAUCCUCUUGAUUUUUUCUGGAACGUAACCCUCCUUAUAGCAAAAGAGGGGGGCCAGAGGGCCAACAUGGAGCCCACAAGCCCCCUAGGCGCGGCUUGGGGGGUAGGUCGCGCCUAGCAGGCUUGUGGCCUCCUGCUGGCUCCCCUCUGAUAGUUCUUCGGCCCAGUAUUUUUCAUAAAUUCCAAAAUAAUUCCUUGUUGAUUUUCAUGGCUUUUGGAGUUGCACGGAAUAGGUAUCUCAAACUUGCUCCUUUUUUAGGCUAGAAUUCCAAUUGCCGGCAUUCUCCCUCUUCAUGUAAACCUUGCAAAAUGAGAGAGAAAAGGCAUAAGUAUUGUACCGUGAAGUGUAAUAACAGCCCAAGAAGCGAUAAAUAUCAACAUGAAAGCAUGAUGCAAAAUGGACGUAUCAACUCCCCCAAGUUUAGACCUUGCUUGUCCUCAAGCGAAAGCCGAGAUCAAUAAAUAUGCCCACAUGUUUAGAGAGAGAGGUGUCGACAAAACAAGAUACAGACAUCCACGCAUCAUGAUCAUAGUCAGAACAACAAUAUCAUCAUAUCAUCUCUUAUGCUAAAGUGAUAAUUCCUUCACUAAGUAAAGUAUGGAUCAAGAACUUUAUUGGUAAUUAACAACCAAUAUCCUUUAUUCAUUGAAGCAAUUGCAAUUUAUCAUAACAUCGGAAAGAGUCAAGUAAGAGCUUGUAAAGCAAAUCCACAUACUCAAUCAUGCUUUCGUCUUCUACAAUUGCUACAACUCACGUGGUACUCAUGAGAUCAAAGUUUCAGUCGGACACAGAGAAAGACAGGGGCUUAUAGUUUCGCCUCCCAACUACUUACCUCAAGGGUAAUGUCAACAAUAAUAAUUCAUGAAUACUUACUUCCAAGUUGACAUAUGAAUAUAGAUCUUUCCCAAGCAUAUGACGUUAGCCAAGAUAAAGGCGAAGUAAGGAAUUGGUGUGGAUCACCAUGACUCUUUCAAGGGCAAAAAGUAAAGAUACAAGAUAGGCCCUUCGCAGAGCGAAGGAGAGGUUGUCAUGCACUUUUGAGGUUUGGAUGUGUGUCCUCUUAGUGUGAAGGAACAUCACUUUAUAUUGCCUCCUGUGAUAAAGAACUUUAUUAUGCAGUCUGUCGCUUUUAUAUCUUCCUCAUCAUAGGUUCGUACAAACCUUAUUUUCCACACACUAAUAGAUCAUACAUAUUUAGGGAGCAAUUUUUAUUGCUUGCACCGAUGACAACUUACUUGAGGGAUCCUCUUCAAUCCAUAGGUAGGUAUGGUGGACUCUCAAGGCAAAACUUAGUUGAAGGUUUAUGGAUGCACAAGUAGUAUCUCUACUUAGUGCGGAAGUUUUGGCUGAUAAGAGGUGGAAGCAAUCGUCACAUGCUAAGGGAUCGCUAGUCAUAUAAUCAUUGUUCGGAACUGAGCAAACAUAAUUCAUUAUGUUGUCUUCCUUGUCCAACAUCUACUUCUAAGCAUGUAAUAGUUUAGUGAGUGUUCACAAUCAUAGAUGGUGUCAAAGAGGAUAUAUUUAUAUGUGAACCUCUCCUUCUUUAUCACUUCCUAUUAAUUGCAACAAUGACCAAGGUCUAUGUUUGUCCACCCUCAACAAGUUUCAAUCAUCAUUCUUUUUAUAUGUGGAGCCAUCACUUCCCAUAAGAUCAUUACAUGAUCUUUCAUGCUUUUGUUCUAUUAUCAUUCUUUUGACCAUGGCAUGAAGCAAGGCCCUUAACUUAGACACUCUUUAUUAUAUGGCUCACGAGCUCGAGUACAUCGGGGGUGACACAAAGAAAAAAUCAAGCAUAAAACACUAAGAACAUUAUUCCAUUAGAGAAAGAUAAAACCAAAAAGGAUCAAACUAAGCGAAUGUAAAGGCAAAAGAUGUGAUGGUGAUACGAUACCGGGGCAACUCCCCCAAGAUUGGCACAAGCCAAGGGGAUUGCCCAUACCCAUGCUUAGUUGUCUUCCUUUGAAGGUGAUGGUGGUGGAGUUGUUGCAACAUGGGUUUGAUCCUCUGUCUUCCAAGGCAUAGGUGCUCCAUCAUGGAAAUAUGGCCGAGUCUCCGGAAUCCUCAAAUCUGCAGCCAACCGUAUUGAUCUAAAUCUAUACUCAUACUCACAGUAUUGGUUCUGCAGGUCAUAGAUCGGGGCUUGGAGGUGAUCAAUUUUGGCAUAGAGCCUGGAGAGGUGCUUCCCAAUGUCAUUGGCAUCGAUCUUGUGCUUGUUGGUGAACUCCGUGAUCAUCAUGUGGUUGGCGUUGAGUCCACGCCCCACCAUCCCUUGGCACUUGAAGACUUGUUGCUCCAUUGCUUCGAGCCUCGCCUCCAUGCUUCCGGUCUUCUUGGGCCCCUCAACAUCACGGAUGUGCAGCAUCCCCUCACGCAUCUCGAUAGAUUGAGGGUGUUGCAGCACUCCCGCAAGGUAGGGAUUGAUGACCUUCUCGAAGAUCAUGUCCUUCGGAACUUUUGGGGACGCCAUAGCGAUCUAGAUCUGCAGCAGAAACAGGCUCAAAACGAAAACAGUGGAAAUUUGCGUGAUACGAGGGUCAGACCUUUCGGGAGAAUAUAUAAUGAUUUUUUUCUGACCAGAUGGAGUACUCCGCAAGAAAACGGAGUCCGGGAGGCACACGAGGUGGUCACAAGCCCCCCAGGCAUGACCAGGGGGGUGGCCCGCGCCUGGCAGGCUUGUGGCCUCCUCGUGCGCUUUCCGGACUACUUUAAUUUUUUCUAUUUUUCUAAAAAUUCCAAAACAAAGAAAAUUUCCUACUCGAAAAGUUUUGGAGUCGGUUUACUUACCGAAUCACAUACCUCUUUGUUUUCGGAGUCUGAAACAGGCUGAUAAAUAUCCCUUAUGUACUCCUCCGGAGUUAUGGUAUUGAUAAUAUUGCUUUCAACAUUUAUGGGAGUACGUGAGAUAUAAUGCUUGAUUCUUUGCCCAUUUACCACUCUCGGAAAAUUACCUUCCGUGUUGUUGAUCUUGAUGGCACCGGAACGAUAUACUUCCUCAACAAUGUAAGGACCUUCCCAUUUAGAGAGAAGCUUGCCUGCAAAAAACCUUAAACGAGAAUUAUAUAGCAAGACAUAAUCACCUGCAUUGAACUCACAUUUCUGUAUCCUUUUAUCAUGCCACCUCUUAACCUUUUCUUUGAACAACUUGACAUUUUGAUAUGCCUGAGCUCUCCAUUCAUCAAGCGAGCUAAUAUCAAAUAACCUCUUCUCACCAGCAAGUUUGAAAUCAAAGUUGAGCUCUUUGAUUGCCCAAUAAGCCUUAUGCUCUAGCUCAAGAUGUAAACAACAUGCUUUACCAUAAACCAUUUUGUACGGAGACAUGCCCAUGGGAUUCUUAUAAGCAGUUCUAUAAGCCCACAGUGCAUCAUCGAGCUUCUUAGACCAAUUCUUUGUAGACUUAUUGACAGUCUUUUGCAGAAUUAGUUUAAUCUCUCUAUUUCUUAGCUCUACUUGACCACUGGACUGAGGGUGAUAGGGAGAUGCAAUUCUAUGAUUGACAUCAUACUUAGCAAGCGUUUGACAGAAAGCACCAUGAAUAAAAUAUGAACCACCAUCAGUCAUUAGAUAUCUAGGGACUCCAAAUCUGGGGAAAAUAACUUCUUUAAGCAUCCUGAUAGAAGUGUUGUGAUUAGCACUACUAGUUGGGAUAGCUUCUACCCACUUAGUAACGUAAUGAACAUCAACUAGGAUAUGAGUAUACCCGUUGGAUUUUGGAAAAGGUCCCAUAUAAUAAAAACCCCAAACAUCAAAUGGUUCAAUGACAAAUGAAUAGUUCAUAGGCAUUUCCUGACAUUUACUGAUAUUACCUAUUCUUUGACAUUCGUCACAAGACAAGAGAAACUUACGAGCAUCCUUGAAGAGAGUGGGCCAAUAGAAACCUGAUUGCAAUACCUUGUGUGCAGUUCUAUCUCCCGCAUGGUGUCCUCCGUAGGCCUCGGAGUGACACUUCUGUAGGAUCUGUCCCUGUUCAUGCUCUGGUACACAACAUCUAAUAACACCAUCUACUCCUUCUUUAUAAAGGUGAGGAUCAUCCCAAAAGUAAUGUCUCAAAUCAAAGAAGAAUUUCUUCUUUUGCGGGUAUGUGAAACUAGGUGGUAUAUAUUUGGCAAUGAUAUAGUUUGCAUAAUCAGCAUACCACGGUGUACUACAUGAAGUAUUGAUUACAUUCAAUUGCUCAUCAGGAAAGCUAUCAUCAAUAGGUUGUGGAUCAUCAAGAACAUUCUCCGACCUAGACAAGUCAUCUGCUACGGGGUUAUCAGCACCCUUCCUGUCGACAAUAUGCAAAUCAAAUUCGUGUAGCAAGAGAACCCAUCUGAUAAGUCUAGGUUUAGCGUCUUUCUUUUCCAUGAGGUACUUAAUAGCAGCGUGAUCAAUGUGAAUAGUGACUUUGGAAUCAACUAUGUAAGACGUGAACUUUUCACAUGCAAACACGACUGCUAAAAAUUCCUUUUUUGUAGUAGCAUAGUUUCUUUGGGCACUGUCUAGAGUUUUACUAGCAUAGUGAAUAACAUUCAACUUCUUCUCAACUCUUUGUCCUAGAACAGCGCCAACAGCAUAAUCACUAGCAUCACACAUGAUUUCAAAAGGUAAGUUCCAAUCAGGUGGUUGAACAAUAGGCGCAGUUAUCAAGGCCUUCUUAAGUAUUUCGAAGGCUUCCUCACAAUCAUCGUCAAAAACAAAAGGAAUAUCCUUUUGCAAGAGAUUGGUAAGAGGCCUAGAAAUCUUAGAGAAGUCUUAAUUGAACCCUCUAUAGAAACCAGCAUGACCUAGGAAACUUCUUAUACCUUUGAUAUCUGUGGGGCAUGACAUUUUCUCGAUUGCAUCAACCUUAGCCUUAUCGACUUCAAUACCUCUUUGAGAAAUUUUAUGUCCUAAGACGGUGCCUUCAUUAACCUUAAAGUGGCACUUCUCCCAAUUCAAGACAAGGUUGGUGUCUUUACAUCUCUCCAAGACUCGAUCAAGGUUGCUGAGGCAAUCAUCAAAAGAAGACCCGUGAAUGGAGAAGUCAUCCAUGAAAACCUCAACAAUCUUUUCACAAAAGUCAGAGAAUAUAGCCAUCAUACAUCUUUGAAAGGUAGCAGGUGCAUUACAUAAGCCAAAAGACAUACAUCUAUAAGCAAAGGUACCGAAAGGGCAGGUGAAAGUGGUUUUCUCCUGAUCAGAUUGUGCAACAGGUAUUUGGGAGAAACCAGAAUAACCAUCUAGAAAGCAGAAGUGUGUGUGUUUAGACAGUCUUUCUAGUAUUUGGUGGAUAAAAGGAAAAGGUUAAUGAUCUUUCCUAGUGGCUUUAUUAAAUUUCCUAAAAUCAAUCACCAUCCUAUAGCCAAUAAUAAUCCUCUGUGGAAUCAAUUCAUCUUUAUCAUUAGGGACAACGGUAAUACCUCCCUUCUUAGGGAUGCAAUGCACCGGACUCACCCAGUCACUAUGAGAAACAUGAUAGAUAAUACGUGCUUCCAGGAGCUUUAGUAUUUCUUUUCUUACUACUUCUUUCAUCUUAGGAUUUAAUCUGAGUUGAUGAUCGGCAACUGGUUUGGAAUCAGGAUCGGUUUUAAUCUUGUGCUCGCAUAGAGUGCGACUAAAGCCCUUAAGAUCAUCAAGAGUAUAUCCAAUAGGAGCACAGUGCUUCCUCAGAGUUUUUAGUAACUUCUUUUCUUCAUGAUCUGAGAGGCUAGCACUAAUAAUAACAUGAUAUAUCUCUUUUUCAUCAAGAUAAGCAUACUUAAGAGUAUCAGGCAACUGUUUAAGCUCAAACACAUGAUCACCCUUUGGUGGGGGUGGUUCUCUAAGCAGUUCAACAGGAAAAUUAUUCUUAAGGAUAGGAUAUUGUUCAAAGAUAACUCUAUCUAUAUCAUUCCUUUCAUCCAUAUGUAUAUCGUUUUCAUGCUCAAGGAAGUAUUGCUCUAAGGGAUCAGUAGGAGGCACGUCAAUAGAAGCUAGGGAAAUAAUUUCAUCCUUACUAGGCAACUCUUUUUCAUGAGGUUGUGUACCAAACUUGGAGAAAUUGAACUCAUGUGACACACCUUCAAAGCCAACAGUGACAGUUUGCUUCUCACAGUCAAUAUGAGCAUUGACAGUAUUGAGGAAGGAUGUGCCAAAUAUGAUGGGACCAAAGCUAUCUUGUGUGGUAGCAAGAACGAGGAAAUCAGCAGGAUACUUCGUUUUACCACACAAGACUUCAACAUCUAUAACAAUUCCCACAGGGCAGAUAGUAUCUCUAUUGGCAAGCUGGAUAGUGACAUCAAUAGGUUCCAUCUCAACAGGUGCAAUCUCAUCUUUAAAUUCAUCAUAUAAGGAUUGAGGUAUUGCACUAACACUAGCACCCACGUCACAUAUACCAUGAUAACAAUGAUCUCCUAUCUUAACAGAAACAACAGGCGUGCCAACAAUAGGCCUAUGUUUGUCUCUAGCAUGUGGUUUAGCAAUUCUAGCAGCAUCUUCACAGAAGUGAAUAUCAUGGCCUUCAACAUUGUCGGACAGGAGAUCUUUGAUAAUAGCAAUGCUAGGUUCAACUCUAAUUUUCUCAGGGGGUGUAGGUGUUAUAAUGUAGCCCCUACGUAUCACAGUUGAAACUUUAGAAUGAUCCUUUAUCCUAACCGGGAAAGGUGGUUUCUCAAUGUAAGCACUGGGAACAAUAGGAUCAUUAUAAGCAAUGACUUUCUCUUCAACUGGAUUGUGUUUCACUACAUUGACUUCUAAGGGAGGAUGAUAUUUAAGCCACUUCUCUUUAGGGAGAUCAAUAUGAGCAGCAAAUGAUUCACACAAUGAAGCUACUAUCUCAGAGUCAAGUCCAUAUUUAGCGCUAAAAUCACCAAAAGUAUUUGUUUCGACAACGGAUUUAACGCAAUCAAACUUGAAAUUCAUACCUGACUCCUUACCUUCAUCAAACUCCCAAUCUUCAGAGUUGCGUUUAAUUCAUUCCAAUAAAUUCCAUUUGAAGUCAAUAUCUCUCUUCAUAAAAGAUCUGGUACAAGAAGUGUCAAGCAUGGUACGAUCAUCAUGAGAAAGCCGAGCAUAGAAGUUCUGAAUGAUAAUUUCUCUCGAGAGCUCAUGGUUGGGGCAUGAAUAUAACAUUGAUUUAAGCCUCCCCCAAGCUUGAGCGAUGCUUUCUCUGUCAUGAGGCCAAAAAUUAUAAAUAUAAUUCCGAUCACGAUGUACUAGAUGCAUAGGAUAAAACUUUUGAUGAAAUUCCAAUUUCAACCGGUUGUAGUUCCAUGAUCCAGUAUCAUCACAUAGCCUAUACCAUGUCAAUGCUUUAUCCCUCUAAGAUAAGGGAAAGACCUUCUUCUUGACCUCAUCCUCGGGCAAACCUGCAAGCUUAAAUAAACCACAAACUUCAUCUACAUAGAUUAUAUAUAAGUCGGGAUGUGAUGUUCCAUAUCAUUUAAAAGGAUUAGCGAGCAGUUUUUCAAGCAUACGUGAAGGAAAUUCAUAGCAAAUAUUUUCAGUAGAUGAAGCAGGUUGAGGAGAAACUCCUUGUGCUUCCGUUCGAGGUGAAGAUACCCCGAACAAGCUCCUCAAAUGAUUAGUUUCCAUAGUGACAAGUGACAAUAAAUUUCAGCACACUAUAUAAAUGUUUCCUUACCAAAUUCCACUUACCAAAGGCGCUUCACUCCCUGGCAACGACGCCAGAAAAGAGUCUUGAUGACCCACAAGUGUAGGGGAUCUAUCGUAGUCCUUUAGAUAAGUAAGUGUGUCGAACCCAAUGAGGAGCAGAAGGAUCUAACAAGUGGUUUUCAGCAAGGUAAUCUGUGUAAGCACUGAAAUUGUCGGUAACAGAUAGUUGUGUGAUAAGAUGAUUCGCAGCAAGUAGCAAGUAACAAUAGUAACAAUGGUGCAGCAAAGUGUCCCUAGCCCUUUUAUAGCAAGGGACAAGCCUGGACAAACUCUUAUAGGAGGUAAAGCGCUCCCGAGGACACAUGGGGAAUUCUGUCAAGCUAGUUUUCAUCAUGUUCAUAUGAUCCGCGUUCGCUACUUUGAUAAUUUGAUAUGUGGGUGGACCGGUGCUUGGGUGAUGCCCUUACUUCGACAAACCUCCCACUUAUGAGUAACCCCUCUCGCAAGAAUCUGCAACUAUGAAAGAAGAACUAAGACAAAGUCUAACCAUAGCCUUAAACUAGUGGAUCCAAAUUAGCCCCUUACGAAACAACGCAUAAACUAGGGUUUAAGCUUCUGUCACUCUAGCAACCCAUCAUCUACUUAUUACUACCCAAUGCCUUCCUCUAGGCCCAAAUAAUGGUGAAGUGUUAUGUAGUCGACGUUCACAUAACACCACUAGAGGAAAAACAACAUACAACACAUCAAAAUAUCAAACGAAUACCAAAUUCACAUGACUACUUAUAGCAUGACUUAUCCCAUGUCCUUAGGAACGAAAGUAACUACUCAGAAAGCAUAAUUAUGUUCAUGACCAGAGAGGUAUUGAAUAGCAUCAAGGAUCUGAACAUAUAAUCUUCCACCGAGUAAUCCAACUAGCAUCAACUACAAAGAGUAAUUAACACUACUAGCAACCUUACAAGUACCAAUCGGAGUCACGAGACGGAGAUUGGUUACAAGAGAUGAACUAGGGUUUGGAGAUGAGAUGGUGCUGAUGAAGAUGUUGAUGGUGAUGAGUUCCCUCUGAUGAGAGGAGUGUUGGUGAUGACGAUGGCGACGAUUUCCCCCUCCGGGAGGGAAGUUUCCCCGACAGGACGACCCUGCCGGAGCUCUAGAUUGGUUCUGCUCAAGUUCCGCCUCGUGGCGGCGGCGAAUCCUCCCGAAAAUCUCCUCUUGAUUUUUUCUGGAACGAAACCCUCCUUAUAGAAAAAGAGGGGGGCCAGAGGGCCAACAGGGAGCCCACAAGCCCCCUAGGCGCGGCCAGGGGGGUAGGUCGCGCCUAGCAGGCUUGUGGCCUCCUGCUAGCUCCCCUCUCAUACUUCUUCGGCCCAGUAUUUUUCAUAAAUUCCAAAAUAAUUCCUCGUUGAUUUUCACGGCUUUUGGAGUUGCGUAAAAUAGAUAUCUCAAACUUGCUCCUUUUUCAGGCCAGAAUUCGAGGCAUUCUCCCUCUUCAUGUAAACUUUGCAAAAUGAGAGAGAAAAGGCAUAAGUAUUGUACCGUGAAGUGUAAUAACAGCCCAUAAAGCGAUAAAUAUCAACAUGAAAGCAUGAUGCAAAAUGGACGUAUCAAGUACAGAUAGUUGAAAAGAAAAGGCACAAAGCUUGACUAUCUACAGAUCCCUUCUGAAAGGGCCAGGUCGUAGCUGGGACACCAGUUACUCGUCAUCAUCGAUGUCUAGAUAGAACCCACCUGUUGGCUCGUGGGUAUCCUCUGUAACAAUUAUUAAGAAAACAUGAGUACAAGAGUACUCAGCAAGACUUUAGAACAAAUCUAUCUACUCAUGCUCAGGUAUCAAUAAAGGGGGUUGUGGUGUUUCAUGGAGCAAGCGAGCUUUGACUCUUGGCUAGGCUAAACUACAAUUUUUAAAUAGUUUUAACAACUUUGAUAAGUGAUACGUCUCCAACGUAUCUUUAAUUUUCGAUCGUUCCAUGCUAUUGUAUUAUCAACUUUGGAUGUUUUAUAUGCAUGAAUGUGCUAUUUUAUAUUAUUUUUGGGACUAACCUAUUGAGCUAGAGCCCAGUGCCAGUUCCUGUUUUUUCCUUGUUUUUGACCUUUUUCAGAUAAGAAUAUCAAACGGAGUUCAAAUGGAAUAAAACUUUCACGAUGAUUUUUUUGGACCGAAAGAGACCCCCGAAGCUUUGGAAGAAGGCCAGAAGAUCCACGAGGGAGUCACGAGCCCGGUAGGCGCGCCCUACCCCCCGGGGAGGGCCUAGCAGGCUCGUGACCUCCUCGUGGGCCCAACUGACGUAAUUCCACCGCCAUAAAUUCCUAUAAAUACAGAACCCCCCAAAAAGAAACCUAGAUCGGGAGUUCUGCCGCCGCAAGCCUCUGUAGCCACCAAAAACCAAUCGGGAGCCCGUUCCGGCACCCUACCAGAGGGGGAUUCGGACAGGGAGGGCUUCUUCAUCAACACCAUUGUCUCUCCGAUGAUGCGUGAGUAGUUCACCACAGACCUUCGGGUCCAUAGCUAGUAGCUACAUGACUUCUUCUCUCUCUUGGAUCUUCAAUACAAAGUUCUCCAUGAUCUUCAUGGAGAUCUAUCCGAUGUAACCUUCUUUUGCGGUGUGUUUGUCNUUGGUUUUGGGUUCAUACCGUCCGGUGUCCUGACCUAGUGACAGAAGGGGUAGCGAGGCACGCAUCGUGUUGUUGCCAUCAAGGGUAAAAAGAUGGGUGAUACGUCCAUUUUGCAUCAUGCUUUCAUGUUGAUAUUUAUUGCUUUUUGGGCUGUUAUAUUACUUGUGGUACCAUAUUUAUGCCUUUUCUCCCUUAUUUUGCAAGGUUUAUUUGAAGAGGGAGAAUUCUGGCAGCUGGAAUUCUGGACUAGAAGAGGAGCAAAUCCUAGUCCACUAUUCUGCACAUCUCCAAAUGCCUUGAAAAUUUAUGUGGAUUUUUUCUGGAAUAUAUUAAAAAUACUGGACGAAAGAACUACCGGAGGGGGACCACCAGGGCCCCACAAGCCCCCACUCCGCCACCACCCCCUGGUGGCGGUGGGCAAGCUUGUGGGCUGCCUGAAGGCCCACUAGCCCCCCUCUUUUGCUAUAUGAAGCGUCCUGGUCUGGAAAAAAAAUCAAGGGGGAGCUUUUUCGUGGUUUCUCCGCCGCCAGGAGGCAGAACUUGAGCAGAUCCAAUCUAGAGCUCCGGCAGGACGAUCCUGCCGGGGAACCCCCCCUCCCCCCGGAGGGGGAAAUCGUCGCCAUCAUCAUCACCAACACUCCUCUUGUUGGAGGGGAGGCAUCUUCAUCAGCACCAUCUCCUCUCCAAUCCCUAGUUCAUCUCUUGUAACCAAUCUUUGUCUCGCAACUCCGAUUGGUACUUGUAAGGUUGCUAGUAGUGUUGAUUACUCUUUGUAGUUGAUGCUAGUUGGAUUAGUUGGUGGAAGAGUUUAUGUUCAGAUCCUUGAUGCUAUUCAUUACACCUAUGGUCAUGAUUAUGAUUAUGUCUUGUGAGUAGUUACUUUUGUUCCCGAGGACAUGGGAUAAGUCAUGCUGAUAAUAGUCAUGUGAAUUUGAGAUUCGUUCGGUAUUUUGAUAUGAUGUAUGUUGUUUUUCCUCUAGUGGUGUUAUGUGAACGUCGACUACAUAACACUUCACCAUAUUUGGUCCUAGAGGAAUGCAUUGAGAAGUAGUAAGUAGAUGAUGGGUUGCUGGAGUGACAGAAGCUUAAACCCCAGUCCAUGCGUUGCUUCGUGAGGGGCUGAUUUGGAUCCACUAGUUUAGUUCUAUGGUUAGACUUUGUCUUAAUUCUUCUUUUGUAGUUGCGGAUGCUUGCAAGAGAGGUUAAUCAUAAGUGGGAUGCUUGUCCAAGUAAGGGCAGUACCCAAGCGCUGGUCCACCCACAUAUCAAACUAUCAAAGUAACGAACGCGAAUCAUAUGAACAUGAUGAAACUAGCAUGACAGAAAUUCCCAUGUGUCCUCGGGAGCGUUUUUCCUCCUAUAAUUCUUUGUUCAGGCUUGUACCUUGCUACAAAAGGGAUUGGGCCACUUGCUGCACCAUUGCUACUACUUGUUACUUUUUGCUCGCUAUGUUUCACCUCGCUACACAAUCACUUGUUACCGCUACUUUCAGUGCUUGCAGUUAUUACCUUGCUGAAAUCCGUUUAUCAGAGCCUUCUGCUCUUCAUUGGGUUCGACACUCUUACUUAUUGAAAGGACUACGAUUGAUCCCCUAUACUUGUGGGUCAUCAAGACUCUUUUCUGGCACCAUUGCCGGGGAGUGAAGUGCCUUUGGUAAGUGGAAAUUGGUAAGGAAACAUUUAUAUACUGUGCUGAAAUUUAUUGUCACUUGUCACUAUGGAAACUCUUCGUUUGAGGAGUUUUUUCGGGGUAUAUUCACCACGAAUGGAAGCACGAGGACUUUCUCCUCAACCUGAGGUACCUACUAAAAAUAUCUUUUAUGAAAUUCCUUUGGGUAUGCUUGAGAAACUGCUGGCUAAUCCUUUUACAGGAGAUGGAUCUUCACAUCCAGACUUUCAUCUAAUCUAUGUAGAUGAAGUUUGUGGUUUAUAUAAUCUUGCAGGUUUGCCCGAGGAUGAGGUAAAUAAGAAAGUCUUUCCUUUAUAUUUGAAGGAUAAGGCGUUGACAUGUUAUAGGCUAUGUGAUGAUGCUGGAUCAUGGGGUUACAAUCGGGUGAAAUUAGAAUUUCAUCAAAAGUUCUAUCCUAUGCAUUUAGUACAUCGUGAUCGGAACUUUAUUUAUAACUUUUGGCCUCAUGACAGGGAAAGCAUAGCUCAAGCUUGGGGAGGCUUAAAUCAAUGCUAUAUUCAUUCCCCAAUCAUGAGCUCUCGAGAGAAAUCAUCACUCAAAACUUUUAUGCUCGACUUUCUCAUGAAGAUCGUACCAUGCUUGACACUUCUUGUGCCGGUGCUUUUAUGAAGAAGGAUAUUGAUCACAAGUGGAAUUUAUUGGAGAGAAUCAAAUGCAACUUUGAAGAUUGGGAGCUGGAGGAAGGUAAGGAGUCAGGUAUGAAUUUCGAGUUUGAUUGCGUUAAAUCUUUUGUUGAGACAAACACUUCUAGAGAUUUUAGCGCUAAGUAUGGACUUAACUCUGAGAUAGUAGCUUCUCUAUGUGAAUCCUUUGCUGCUCAUGUUGAUCUUCCCAAAGAGAAGUGGUUUAAAUAUCAUCCUCCUGUAGAAAGAAACAUAGCCAAAACCAAUCUAGUUGAGGAGAAAGUCAUAGAUUUUAGUGAUCCUGUUGUUCCUUGUGCUUACACUGAGAAACCACCGUACCCUGCUAGGAUAAAGGAUUAUUCUAAAGCUCCAACUGUGAUACGUAGGGGUUACAUUAGACCACUUGCACCCCCUGAGGAGAUUAGAGUUGAACCUAGUGUUGCUAUUAUCAAAGAUCUCUUAGCCGAAGACAUAGACGGGCAUGUUAUCUAAUUCUAUGAGGACUCCACUAGAAUUGCUAAACCUCACGUGAAAGACAAACACAAACCUGUAGUUGGCCUGCCCGUUGUUUCUGUUAAGAUAGGAGAUCACUGUUGCCAUGGUUUAUGUGAUAUGGGAGCUAGUGUUAGUGCAAUACGCCGUUCUCUCUAUGAUGAAAUCAAAGAUGAGAUUGCACCUGCUGAGUUAGAACCCAAUGAUGUCACUAUUACGCUAGCUAAUAGAGACACUAUCUGCCCUCUGGGAAUUGUGAGAGACGUAGAAGUCCUUUGUGGUAAGACGAAGUAUCCUACUGUUUUCCUCGUCCUUGGUACUGCACAAGAUAGAUUUUGUCCCAUCAUAUUUGGUAGACCCUUUCUCAACACUGUCAAUGCUCACAUUGAUUGCAUUAAGCAGACUGUCACAGUAAUUUUCGAGGGUGUGUCUCAUGAAUUUAACUUCUCCAAGUUUGGAAGACAAACCCAUGAAAGAGAGUCGUCUGGUAGAGAUGAAAUCAUUGCUCUUGCCUCUAUUGCCGUACCUCCUACGAAUCCUUUAGAGCAAUAUCUGCUUGAGCAUGAAAAUGAUAUGUAUAUGGAGGAGAGAGAUGAGAUAUAUAGAAUUGUCUUAGAACAACAUCCUAUUCUCAUGAAUAAUCUGCCUGUUGAACUGCUUGGAGAUCCUCCCCCACCAAAGGGUGAUCCUGUGUUCGAGCUUAAACAGUUGCCGGAUACUCUUAAGUAUGCCUAUCUUGAUGAGAAGGAGAUAUAUACUGUCAUUAUUAGUGCUCUCCUCUCAGAUCGCGAAGAGAAGAAGUUACUAAAAACUCCGAGGAAGCACCGCGCUGCUAUUGGAUAUACUCUUGAUGAUCUUAAGGGUAUUAGUCCUACUCUAUGUCAGCACAAGAUUAAAACCGAUCCUGACUUUAAACCAGUUGCUAAUCAACAAAGGAUAUUAAAUCCUAAGAUGAAAGAGGUCGUUAGAAAAGAAAUAUUAAAGCUUCUGGAAGCAGGAAUAAUUUAUCCUGUUGCUCAUAGUGAUUGGGUAAGUCCAGUACAUUGCGUACCUAAGAAGGGAGGUAUCACCGUCGUUCCUAAUGAUAAGGAUGAACUAAUCCCACAAAGGAUUAUUACCGGCUAUAGAAUGGUGAUAGACUUUCGGAAACUGAACAAGGCAACCAGGAAAGAUCAUUAUCCUUUGCCGUUCAUCGACCAAAUGCUAGAAAGGCUAUCAAAGCACACACACUUCUUCUUUCUAGACGGUUAUUCAGGUUUCUCGCAGAUACCUGUUGCACAAUCUGAUCAAGAGAAAACCACUUUCACCUGCCCUUUCGGUACCUUUGCCUAUAGACGUAUGCAUUUUGGCUAAUGUAAUGCACCUGCCACCUUCCAAAGAUGUAUGAUGGCUAUAUUCUUUGACUUUUGUGAAAAGAUUGUCGAGGUUUUCAUGGAUGACUUCUCUAUUUACGGGUCUUCCUUUGAUGAUUGCCUCAGCAACCUUGAUCGAGUCUUACUGAGAUGCGAAGAAACCAACCUCGUCUUGAAUUGGGAGAAGUGCCACUUUAUGGUUAAUGAAGGUAUCGUCUUAGGACACAAAAUUUCUGAGAGAGGCAUUGAAGUUGAUAAGGCUAAGGUUGAUGCAAUUGAGAAAAUACCUUGCCCCACAGAUAUCAGAGGUAUACGAAGUUUCCUAGGUCAUGCUGGUUUCUGUAGAAGGUUCAUUAAAGACUUAUCUAAGAUUUCUAGGCCUCUUACCAACCUCUUGCAGAAGGAUGUUCCUUUUGUUUUUGAUGAGGAUUGUGAGGAAGCCUUUGAAAUACUUAAGAAGGCUUUGAUAACCGUACCUAUUUUUCAACCACCUGACUGGAACUUGCCCUUUGAAAUCAUGUGCGACACUAGUGAUUAUGCUGUUGGUGUUGUUCUAGGACAAAGAGUUGACAAGAAGUUGAAUGUCAUUCACUACGCUAGUAAAACUGUAGACAGUGCCCAAAGAAACUAUGCCACUACGGAGAAGGAAUUUUUAGCAGUCGUGUUUGUAUGUGAAAAGUUUAGAUCUUACAUAGUUGACUCCAAAGUCACUAUUCACUCUGAUCAUGCUGCUAUUAAGUACCUCAUGGAGAAGAAGGACGCUAAGCCUAGGCUGAUCAGAUGGGUUCUCCUGCUACAGGAAUUUGAUUUACACGUCGUUGACCGAAAGGGUGCUGAUAACCCUGUAGCAGAUAACUUGUCUAGGCUAGAGAAUGUCCUUGAUGACCCACUACCUAUUGAUGACAACUUUCCUGAUGAGCAAUUAAAUGUCAUCCGCACUUCACAUAGUGCACUGUGGUAUGCCGAUUAUGCAAACUAUAUCGUAGCCAAAUACAUACCACCCAGUUUCACCUAUCAAUAAAAGAAGAAAUUCUUCUUUGAUUUGAGAUACUACUUUUGGGAUGAUCCUCAGCUUUAUAAGGAAGGACUAGAUGGUGUUAUUAGACGUUGUGUGCCUGAACAUGAACAGGGACAGAUCUUGUAGAAGUGUCAUUCCGAAGCCUACGGAGGACACCAUGCUGGAGAUAGAACUGCCCAUAAGGUAUUGCAAUCAGGUUUCUAUUGGCCUACUCUCUUCAAAGAUGCUCGUAAGUUUGUCUUGUCUUGUGACGAAUGCCAAAGAAUAGGGAACAUCAGUAAGCGUCAAGAGAUGCAUAUGAACUAUUCACUUGUCAUUGAACCAUUUAAUGUCCGGGCUUUGAUUAUAUGGGACCCUUCCCGAGUUCCAAUGGGUACACUCACAUCUUAGUUGCUGUGGAUUACGUUACUAAGUUGGUAGAAGCUAUCCCCACUAAAAAUGCUGAUCACCACACCUCUAUUAAGAUGCUUAAAGAAGUCAUAUUCCCAAGAUUUGGAGUCCCUAGAUACUUGAUGACUGAUGGCGGUUCACACUUCAUUCAUGGUGUUUUCCGCAAGAUGGUAGCUAAGUAUGAUGUCAACCAUAGAGUUGCUUCUCCUUAUCAUCCUCAGUCUAGUGGUCAAGUGGAGUCGAGUAAUAGGGAGAUCAAGUUGAUCCUACAAAAGACCGUCAAUAGAUCUCAAAAGAACUGGUCAAGCAAACUUGACGAUGCACUAUGGGCUUAUAGGACUGCUUAUAAGAAUCCCAUGGGCAUGUCACCGUAUAAAAUGGUUUACGGUAAGGCCUGUCAUUUACCUCUUGAGCUGGAACACAAAGCUUAUUGGGCAAUCAAAGAGCUCAACUUUGAUUUCAAACUUGCCGGUGAGAAGCGGUUGUUUGAUAUCAGCUCGUUAGAUGAAUGGAGAGCCCAUGCAUAUGAGAAUGCCAGGUUGUUCAAGGAGAAGGUUAAGAGAUGGCAUGACAAACGAAUACAGAAACGAGAGUUCAAUGUAGGUGAUUAUGUCUUGCUAUACAAUUCUCGUUUGAGAUUCUUUGCAGGCAAGCUUCUCUCUAAAUGGGAAGGUCCCUAUGUUGUCGAGGAAGUAUAUCGUUCAGGUGCCAUCAAAAUCAAUAACACGGAAGGAAAUUUUCCUAGAGUGGUAAAUGGGCAAAGAAUCAAACAUUACAUCUCUGGUACUCCCAUAAAUGUUGAGACCAAUAUCAUCAAUGUCAUAACUCCAGAGGAGUACAUAAGGGAUGUUUAUCAGCCUGUUUCAGACCUUGGAAACGAAGAUGUAUCUGUUUCGGCAAGAAAUUGGACUCCGAUACUUUUCCAAUAGGAAAUUUCCUCAGUUUUGGAAUUUUUGGAAAAUUAGAAAAAUAAAAAACAGUCCGGAGAGCAAACGAGGUAGCCACAAGGGCCCAACCCGCCACCACCACCUGGUGGCGGGGGGCAAGCUUGUGGGCACCUCGUGUGCCUCCCAGACUCUGUUUUCUUGCGGAAGACUCCUUCUGACCCAGAAAAAUAAAUAUAUAGUCACCCGAAGGUUUUGAUCUCCGUAUCACACAGUUUUCCUCUGUUUUCGUUUCGAGCUUGUUGUCUGCCACAUAUUUAGAACAAAGAUGUCUCAGGAAUCUGUUGGGGAGAAUGAUCUUCACCAAGUUCAUGAGGAAGUAGAUGCUGAUCUGAAAAGAGUAGAAGUCACGGAAGCCAGGGACCAAGCUAAGGAGAAAACCCAAGCUAGGGAGGAAGUUCAACCUAUGUUCAACAUUGAAGACGUUGAAGGAGUAGAUUUUCUCCAACUCUUCCUCCACGUGUUUUCUCCAUCCUUGAUUGAACUCUUGAGGUUUUGCGAAACAACUCAUGCUCGCAAUAUUUCUCUUUCUCGUGAAGUUGUUUUGCUGGAAAACCAUGUCACAGAUCUCAAAGGUAUAAAUCAAAGAUUGAUAGCUCUCUUGGAAUCAAAGGCGACAACAACACCACCAUCACCACCAAAGGAAGACAACUAAGCAUUGGUAUGGGCAAUCCCCUUGGCUUCUGCCAAGCUUGGGGGAGUUGCUCUGGUAUCAUAUCACCUUUAUAUAUUUUGCUUUUACCUUUGUUUUAGUUCUUUCCUUUUUAGUUUUUAUUUCUUCUUUUAGAGGAAUAAGUCCUUAGUUUUUAGUUUGAGUCUUUUGCUUUUGCCUCUCCCCCGAUGUAUUCGAGCUUACGAGCUAUAUAAUAAAGAGUGUCUUAGUUAAGGGCUUUGCUUUGUGCCAUGAUCAAAAAGUAUGAAAAGAACGAUAGCAUGAAAGAUCAUGAAACGAUCUUAUGGAAAGUGAUAACUUCACUUAUGACACGUAUGAUGAUUGAAACUUGUUGAGAAUAAAUCAACAUAGACAUUAGUCAUUGUUGCAAUUAAUAAGAAGUAAUAAGGAAAGAGAGGUUCACAUAUAAAUAUAUCAUCUUAGACACUUUUUACUAUUGUGAGCACUCACCAAACUAUUACAUGCCUAGGAGUAGAUGUUGGACAAGGAAGACAACAUAAUGAAUUGUGUUUGCUUGGUUGCAAACAAUGUUAUAUGAUUAGAGAUCCCUUAGCAUGUGACGAUUGCUUCCACCUCAUGUUAGCCAAAACUCCCAAACCAAGUAGAGAUACUACUUGUGCAUCCAUAAACCUCCAAUCCAGUUUUGCCAUGAGAGUCCACCAUACCUACCUAUGGAUUGAAUAAGAUCAUUCAAGUAAGUUGUCAUCGGUGCAAGCAAUAAAAAUUGCUCUCUAAUAUGUAUGCUCUAUUAGUGUGUGGAAAAUAAGCUUUGUACGAACCUGUGGUGAGGAAGAAAUAAAAGCGACAGACUGCAUAAUAAAGUUCUUUAUCACAGGAGGCAAUAAGUGACGUUCCUCCGCACUAAGAGGACACACAUUCAAACCUCAAAAGCACAUGAAAACCUCUGCUUCCCUCUGCGAAGGGCCUAUCUUGUACCUUUACUUUUUACCCUUGUAAGAGUCAUGGUGAUCAUCACCAACUCCCUUUUUGAAUUUGUCUUGGCUACCGUCACAUGUUUGGGAAAGAUCUAUAUUCAUAUAUCAACUUGGAGUUGAGUACUCAUGCUUUAUUGUUGUUGACUUUACCCUUGAGGUAAAUGGUUGGGAGGCAAAACUAUAAGCCCCUAUCUUCCUCUGUGUCCAGCUGAAACUUUGACACCCUGAGUACCACGUGAGUUGUAACAAUUGUGGAAAACAAAAGAGAUGAUUGAGUAUGUGGGUUUGCCUUACAAGCUCUUAUUUGACUCUUUCUGAUGUUGUGAUAAAUUGCAAUUGCUUCAAUGACUAUGGACUAUUGUUGGUUACUUCUCGGUAAGGUUUUUGCUUCAUGCUUUGCUUUGUGAAGGAAUCGUUACUUUCUCAUAAGAAUCUUUAUGAUGUAUUGCUGUUCUAUGUGUGAUCAUGAUGCCCUCAUGUCCGUAUUAUGUUUUAUCGACACCUUCAUCCCAAACAUGUGGACAUGUUUAUGGAACUUGGUUUUCGCUUGAGGACAAGCGAGGUCUAAGCUUGGGGGAGUUGAUACGUCCAUUUUGCAUCAUGCUUUCAUGUUGAUAUUUAUUGCUUUUUGGGCUAUUAUAUUACUUGUGGUACCAUAUUUAUGCCUUUUCUCUCUUAUUUUGCAAGGUUUAUUUGAAGAGGGAGAAUUCAGGCAGCUGGAAUUCUGGACUGGAAGAGGAGCAAAUCCUAGUCCACUAUUCUGCAAUUCUCCAAAUGCCCUGAAAAUUUACGUGGAUUUUUUCUGGAAUAUAUUAAAAAUACUGGGCGAAAGAACUACCGGAGGGGGCCACCAGGGCUCCACAAGCCCCCACUCCGCCACCACCUCCUGGUGGCGGUGGGCAAGCUUGUGGGCUGCCUGAAGGCCCACUAGCCCCCUCUUUUGCUAUGUGAAGCGUCCUGGUCUGGAAAAAAAAUCAAGGGGGAGCUUUUUCGUGGUUUUUCCACCGCCAUGAGGCAGAACUUGAGCAGAUCCAAUCUAGAGCUCCGGCAGGACGAUCCUACCGGGGAAACUUCCCUCCCGGAGGGGGAAAUCGUCGCCAUCGUCAUCACCAACACUCCUCUCGUCGGAGGGGAGGCAUCUUCAUCAACAUCUUCAUCAGCACCANAUUCGUUCGGUAUUUUGAUAUGAUGUAUGUUGUUUUUCCUCUAGUGGUGUUAUGUGAACGUCGACUACAUAACACUUCACCAUAUUUGGGCCUAGAGGAAGGCAUUGGGAAGUAGUAAGUAGAUGAUGGGUUGCUGGAGUGACAGAAGCUUAAACCCCAGUCUAUGCGUUGCUUCGUGAGGGGCUGAUUUGGAUCCACUAGUUUAAUGCUAUGGUUAGACUUUGUCUUAAUUCUUCUUUUGUAGUUGCGGAUGCUUGCGAGAGAGGUUAAUCAUAAGUGGGAUGCUUGUCCAAGUAAGGGAAGUACCCAAGCGCCGGUCCACCCACAUAUCAAACUAUCAAAGUAACGAACGCGAAUCAUAUGAACAUGAUGAGACUAGCAUGACAGAAAUUCCCGUGUGUCCUCGGGAGCGUAUUUCCUCCUAUAAGAUUUUAUUCGGGCUUGUCCCUUGCUACAAAAGGGAUUGGGCCACUUUCUGCACCAUUGCUACUACUUGUUACUUUUUGCUCGCUACAUUUCGCCUCACUACACAAUCACUUGUUACUGCUACUUUCAGUGCUUGCAGUUAUUACCUUGCUAAAAUCCGUUUAUCACAGCCUUCUGCUCUUCGUUGGGUUCGACACUCUUACUUAUUGAAAGGACUACGAUUGAUCCCCUAUACUUGUGGGGUCAUCAAUGGGGUUUAUAUCAUCUUGCAUGAAUUUAUCCCUCUACAUCAUGUCAUCUUGCUUAAGGCGUUACUCUGUUUGUUAUGAACUUAAUACACUAGAUGCAUGCUGGAUAGCGGUCAAUGUGUGGAGUAAUAGUAGUAGAAGCAGACAGUAUUGGUCUACUUGUGCCGGGCGUGAUGCCUAUAUGUAUGAUCAUUGCCUUAGAUAUCGUCAUGACUUUGCGCGAUUCUAUCAAUUGCUCGACAGUAAUUCAUUCACCCACCGUAAUACUUGCUAUCAUGAGAGAAGCCUCUAGUGAACACUAUGUCCCCCGGGUCUAUUUUACACCUUAUAUAUUCAGCUCUACAUACAAAAACACCAAAAAUAUUUUGUUGCACUUUUCACCUUCAGAUCUCACCUUGCAAGUAACCGUGAAGGGAUUGACAACCCCUUUAUCGCGUUGGGUGCAAGUUUGUUUGUUUUUGCGCAGGUUCAUUGGUGCCUCAUCUUGAUACUCCUACUGGAUUGAUACCUUGGUUCUCAAACUGAGGGAAAUACUUAUCUCUACUUUGCUGCAUCACCCUUUCCUCUUCAAGGGAAAAACCAACGCAAGCUCAAGAAGUAGCAAGAAGAAUUUCUGGCGCCGUUGCAGGGGAGUAUUCAAGUGAAGCAUAACCAAGUACCUAUCGCAAACUCAUCUCUUGCAUUUACAUUGUUUGCCUUUUGCCUCUUGUUUUCCUCUCCCCCACUUCUAAAACAAAACUUACCAAAAUAUUUUCCUUUUUAUUCUCUCUUCUUCCGUUCGCCUUUUUGUUGCUAUGUUUUCUUGUGUUGCCAUGUGCCAUCUAUUUGCUUGCAUCUUUGCUUGCUCAAAAUCUAUUGAUAUGGAUCCUCAUCCACUUGCUAAUCUUUUCAAAGACCAAAUUGUGAUGAACAGUUUGCUAGUGAGUUGAGUGCACUUGACUAUCUCUAUGGAGUUUUGUUUGAAAAUCAUGAACCUAAUUUUUUUGAUGAAGUGCUGAAAGAAGAAAAUUAUAAAGUGGUUCAUGAUAUCUGCUUGAAUGAAAAACAUGAUUGCCAUGUUGUUAGUAUGAAUUCUCUGAAUAUCUAUGAUGCUAAUGAUAUGCAAAACCACAAGCUUAGGGAUGCUAUGCUUGAUGAAGAUGAUAUUUUUUGUUUCCCAAGUUUUGGUGAUGACCCUUAUGCUAUAAUUGAUCAUGAAAAGAAUGCUUUGUGUGAUAGUUAUAUUGUAAGAUUCCUUCAUGAUGUUACUGAAAAUUACUAUGAGAGAGGAACAUAUGCUUUUACAUAUUGCUACAGACUGUUAUGUUUUUGACAGAUUCUGUUUUUGUUGUGUUGAUUACUUAUUUUGAUGAAACUAUGGUUAGUAUCGGAAGUUAUGCUUGUUUUUCCUUCCUCUCCAUGUGUUCAACGUUUUGAAGUUAUGCUUGUUUUGCCUUCCUAUGCUAGUUAAUUCUUGUUCCCAUAAAUUGUUUGCUCACAAAAUCCCUAUGCAUAGGAAGUGGGUUAUACUUAAACGUGUUUUUUGCCAUUCAUGAUGCUCUUUUGCAUAUCUCAACUACUACUUUUAUGUGAGCAUCAUUGAAAUCGUUAAGCCUAGGUAGGGGCGUUACAUGAUAGCGCUUGUUGGGAGGCAACCCAAUGAAUAAAUUUAUUUUUGCUUUUCACUUUCUGUUUAGUUGUGUCCACACCAUCAUGAUUCUGUUAUGAUUGUGUUUUUAUGUUUUAAUUAGUGUUUGCGCCAAGUAGAACCUUUAUGAUUAGUUUUGGUGAUAGUUGUUUAAUCAUGGUGAAAAAGACAAAAACUUUGUGCUCACGAAAUUAUUUUUAUUUCCUAUCCAGAAAGAGCUUCUGAGUUGAUUCUUUUUGCUGCUGGUUGAUAUGCAAAUUGCCCUAAUUUUCAUAAUUUUUUAGAAUUUUUGGGAUAUCAGAGGUAUACGAAAUAUACAAAUUGCUACAGACUGUUAUGUUUUUGACAGAUUCUGUUUUUGUUGUGUUGAUUACUUAUUUUGAUGAAACUAUGGUUAGUAUCGGUGGGUACGAGCCAUGGAGAAGUGAGAAUACAGUAAUACAACAUCAAUCUAAAUGGAAAUUAAGUUUACUACAUGUUGGGGAUAUUACCUGCGGGUAACCUGCCCUUAGUGGGCCGGGUCGCCAAAAGGGGCGACUUACCAUUUACCGCGCGUCCCGUUGCCCAGAAGGUGGAUGGCGGUUCAAGAGGGCGUGCAGAUGAUGGAUUACCAAGAAAGCUCGUGAUCGUGGAGGACACGGCGACUUAGAGAUAAGGAAAGCAACAAAGAGUAGCAUGGCAGGACUUUGUAAACCCUAGGGCCUUGAUGACCCACAAGUAUAAGGGAUCUAUCGUAGUCCUUUCGAUAAGUAAAAGUGUGGAACCCAGCGAGGAGCAGAAGGAUCUGACAAGUGGUUUUCAGCAAGGUAAUAUCUGCAAGCACUGAAAUUAUCGGUAACAAGUAGUUGUGUGGUGAGAUGAUUCGUAGCAAGCAACAAGUAACAAAAGUAGCAACGGUGCAGCAAAGUGGCCCAAUCCCUUUUGUAGCAAGGGACAAGCCAGGACAAAGUCUUAUAGGAGGAAAAACGCUCCCGAGGAUAGACGGGAAUUUCUGUCAUCCUAGUUUUCAUCAUGUUCAUAUGAUUCACGUUCGUUACUUUGAUAGUUUGAUAUGUGGGUGGACCGGCGCUUGGGUACUGCCCUUACUUGGACAAGCAUCCCACUUAUGAUUAACCCCUCUCGCAAGCAUCCGCAACUACGAAAGAAGAAUUAAAACAAAGUAUAACCAUAGCAUUAAACUAGUGGAUCCAAAUCAGCCCCUUAUGAAGCAACGCAUAAACUAGGGUUUAAGCUUUUGUCACUCUAGCAACCCAUCAUCUACUUACUACUUCCCAAUGCCUUCCUUUAGGCCCAAAUAAUGGUGAAGUGUUAUGUAGUGGAUGUUCACAUAACAACACUAGAGGAAAAACAACAUACAACACAUCAAAAUAUUGAACGAAUACCAAAUUCACAUGACUACUUAUAGCAUGACUUAUCCCAUAUCCUCAGGAACAAAAGUAACUACUCACAAAGCAUAAUCAUAUUCAUGACCAGAGAGGUAAUGAGUACCAUCAAGGAUCUGAACAUAAACUCUUCCACCAAGUAAUCCAACUAGCAUCAACUACAACGAGUAAUUAACACUACUAGCAACCUUACAAGUACCAAUCGGAGUCGCGAGACAAAGAUUGAUUACAAGAGAUGAACUAGGGUUUGGAGAUGAGAUGGUGCUGAUGAAGAUGUUGAUGGUGACGAGUCCCCUCCGAUGAGAGGAGUGUUGGUGAUGACGAUGGCGACGAUUUCCCACUCCGGGAGGGAAGUUUCCCCGGCAGGAUCGUCCUGCCAGAGCUCUAGAUUGGUUCUGCUCAAGUUCCUCCUCGUGGCGGCGGCGAAUCCUCCGAAAAGCCUCCUCUUGAUUUUUCCAGACCGAAACCCUUCUUGUAGCAAAAGAGGGGGGCCAGUGGGCCAGCAGGGAGCCCAUAAGCCCCCUAGGCGCAGCCAGGGGGUGGCCGUGCCUAGCAGGCUUGUGGCCACCUGCUGGCGCCCCUCUGGCACUUCUUCGGCCCAGUAUUUUUUAUAAAUCCCAAAAAAAAUCCACGUUGAUUUUCACAGCUUUUGGAGUUGCGCAGAGUAGACAUCUCAAACUUGCUUCUUUUUCAGGCCAGAAUUCCAGCUGCCGGCAUUCUCCCUCUUUAUGUAAACCUUGCAAAAUAAGAGAGAAAAUGCAUAACUAUUUUUACCGUGAAGUGAAAUAACAGCCCAAGAAGCGAUAAAUAUCAACAUGAAAGCAUGAUGCAAAAUGGACGUAUCAACUCCCCCAAGCUUAGACCUCGCUUGUCCUCAAGCGAAAGCCUAGAUCAAUAAACAUGCCCACAUGUUUAGGGAGAGAGGUGUCGACAAAACAAGAUACGAACAUGCAUGCAUCAUGAUCAUGAUCAGAACACCAAUAUAAACACAUAAUCUCUCAUACUAAAGUGACAAUUCCUUCACAAAGUAAAGUAUGGAUCAAGAACCUUACCGAGAAUUAACAACCGAUAGACUUUAGUCAUUGAAGCAAUUGCAAUUUAUCACAACAUCGUAAAGAGUCAAAUAUGAGCUUGUAAAGCAAAUCCACAUACUCAAUCAUCUUGCCGUACUCUACAAUUGCUACAACUCACGUGGUACUCAUGAGUUCAAAGUUUCAGUUGGACACAGAGAAAGAUAGGGGCUUAUAGUUUUGCCUCCCAACUGCUUACCUCAAGGGUAAUGUCAACAAUAAUAAUUCAUGAAUACUUGCCUCCAAGUUGAAAUAUGAAUAUAGAUCUUUCCCAAGCAUAUGACGUUAGCCAAGAUAAAGGCGAAAUAAGGAAUUGGUGAAGAUCACCAUGACUCUUUCAAGGGCAAAAAGUAAAGGUACAAGAUAGGCCCUUCGCAGAGGGAAGCAGAGGUUGUCAUGCACUUUUGAGGUUUGGAUGCGUGUCCUCUUAGUGUGGAGGAACGUCACUUUAUAUUGCCUCCUGUGAUAAAGAACAUUAUUAUGCAGUCUGUCGCUUUUAUGCCUUCCUCAUCAGAGGUUCGUACAAAGCUUAUUUCCCACACACUAAUAGAUCAUACGUAUUAGGGAGAAAUUUUUAUUGCUUAAACCGAUGACAACUUACUUGGAGGAUCUUAUUCAAUCCAUAGGUAGGUAUGGUGGACUCUCAUGGCAAAACUGGGUUGAAGGUUUGUGGAUGCACAAGUAGUAUCCGUACUUAGUGCGGGAGGUUUUAGCUAAUAUGAGGUGGAAGCAAUCGUCACAUGCUAAGGGAUCUCUAAUCAUAUAACAUUUUUCGGGACCAAGCAAACACAAUUCAUUAUCUUGUCUUCCUUGUCCAACAUCUACUUCUAAGCAUGCAAUAGUUUAGUGAGUGUUCACAAUCAUAGAUCGUGUUAAAUAUGAUAUAUUUAUAUGUGAACCUCUCCUUCUUUAUCACUUCCUAUUAAUUGCAACAAUGACCAAGGUCUACGUUUGUCUACCCUCAACAAGUUUCAGUCAUCAUUCUUUUUAUAUGUGAAGCCAUCACUUUCGAUAAUAUCAUUACAUGAUCUUUCAUGCUUUUGUUCUUUUCUCACUCUUUUGAUCAUGGCAAGAGGCAAAGCCCUUCAACUAAGACACUCUUUAUUAUAUGGCUCACGAGCUCGAAUACAUCGGGGGUGACAAAAAACAAAUCUCAAGACUAAAACACUAAGACUUUUAAUCUACUAUAGAAAUAGAAAACUGAAAAGGAACAAAUUAAAACAAAGGUAAAGGCAAAAGAUGUGAUGGUGAUACGAUACCGGGACAACUUCCCCAAGCUUGGCACAAGCCAAGGGGAUUGCCCAUACCCAUGCUUAGUUGUCUUCCUUUGGAGAUGAUGGUGGUGGAGUUUUUGCAACAUGGGUUUGAUCCUCCGUCUUCCAAGGCAUAGGUCCUCCAUCAUGGAAAGAUGAACGAGUCUCCGGAAUCCUCAAAUCUGCAGCCAACCGUAUUGAUUUAAAUCUAUACUCAUACUCACAGUUUUGGUUCUGCAGGUCAUAGAUUUGGGCCUGGAGGUGAUCAAUCAUGUCACAGAGCCUGGAGAGGUGCUUCCCAAUGUCGUUGGCAUCGAUCAUGUGCUUACUGGUGAACUCCGUGAUCAUCAUGUGGUUGGCAUUGAGUCCACGCUCCACCAUCCCUUGUCAUUUGAAGACAUGUUGCUCCAUUGCUUCGAGCCUCGCCUCCACGCUUCCGGUCUUCUUGGGUCCCUCAACAUCACGGAUGUGCAACAUCCCCUCACGCAUCUCGAUAGAUUGAGGGUAUUGCAGCACUCCUGUGAGGUAGGGAUUGAUGACCUUCUCGAAGAUCCUGUCCUUCAGAGCUUUUGGGGAUGUCAUGGCAAUCUAGAUCUGCAACAGAAAUAGGAUCGAAAUGAAAAGAGAGGAAAUUUGCGUGAUACGAGGGCCAGACCUUACGGGAGAUAUAUAAUGAUUUUUUUGACCAGAAGGAGUACUCUACAAGAAAACAGAGUCCGGGAGGCACACGAGGUGGCCACAAGCCCCCCAGGCGCGGCCAUGGGGUGGGCCCGCGCCUCGCACGCUUGUCGCCUCCUCGCGCGCUUUCCGAACUACUACCGAUUUUUCUAUUUUUUCAAAUAUUCAAAAAACGGAGAAAAAUUUCUACUGGAAAAGUUUUGGAGUCUGUUUUCUUACUGAAUCACAUACCUCUUCGUUUUCGGAGUUUGAAACAGGCUGAUAAAUAUCCCUUAGGUAUUCCUCCGGAGUUAUGGUAUUGAUAAUAUUGCUUUCAUCAUUUAUUGGAGUACCUGAGAUAUAAUGCUUGAUUCUCUGCCCAUUUACCACUCUCGGACAAUUACCUUUCGUGUUGUUGAUCUUGAUAGCACCGGAAUGAUAUACUUCCUCAACAAUACAGGGACCUUCCCAUUUAGAGAGAAGCUUGCCUGCAAAAAAUCUUAAACGAGAAUUAUAUAGCAAGACAUAAUCACCUACAUUAAAC